rnacentral:lncRNA from 1 species
CUUUUUUUUUUUUUUUUUUUUGUGUUUGCUGAUUCUGUUUAGUUCAGCUAAUCUUACUUGAAAGCCAAGGCACAUUGAAGAAAGAAGAAAGAAAGAAAAUUAUACACAAAUAUUACAGCACAAAAACAUUUUAGGCAUCAAGCCAUCAUUUUAUUUAUAAAUAUUCAUUGUAAUUAGUAUAUCAAACACACAAUCACAGCCACAACAAAUUUAAUAAAGCUCUCUCACCAAGCUUAUAACAUGACAUACAUAACCUUAACAAGCUUUUGUUUCAUACUCACACCAUUCUAUCUCUUAUUAUUAUUCAACUACUGAAAUAACCAUGCAUGUUCAUGCCUUGACAAGUGAAGCAUCCACGUCUUUUCCAGCAUGAAUCAGCCAGUGGAGGUACUUAGUUGGAGCAGGCUCAUUCUCAUUGAUAUUCUCAUACUCAAUUGUCCAUUUGGCAUAGUUGGACUGGCCUUUUGGAAUAACUUGUAAGCUAGCCUUGUAGCUCUUUAAUUGUUCCAAAAUGUGUCCUCCAACUGCUUCUGCAGUGACAGUCUUGUUCUCUUCAUCCACCGUAAGCCUUUCUUUCAGAGUCUCAACUUUUCCAUCUGGGCAGUAAAAUAUUUAUCAAAUUAAUCCAUUAUUAUAGGGAUAUUCUACCAAAUUGGUGGCAGAAAAACAUGAAGUUAUGAUGCAUAUCAUCUUGAAAUUCCCAGGAAAAUCACCAUAAUAUCAAACUGUUCUACAGUAAAUUUUAAAAAAAAAAAAUCAUGCAACUCUAAUUUGUAACUAUCAAUCUUACAGAGUAUAGAGUUGGUUUUUGUUACCUAUUGCAUAAGUCCAGAGCUUGACAGAGCCCUUAGUUUUCCAGUCACCUUGAUGAACCUUAACACCAUGAACUUUGUCGGAGCAAAGAUUUGGAAGUUUGUGUGCUUUACCACCAAAGCUCUGGAAGAACUCAUCAGGAUCAGACUUAAUCUUUAUCUCAGCUUCUAACUUUCCAGCUAGAAUUGGACUAGCCAUAAUUGGUUGUAGUAAUGCUGAAAAAUCGCUGUGCACCUUUUCCUAGUAAAUGCUCUACCAACUAAACUGGCUGAACCAUGAUUUAUAGAAUCAAAUUUUCAUUUCACAGUAGCUUUUAGAUUAUUACGUAGAUUAAGUCAACAUUUUGUGCGAAACUGUUUAGCAUAGAUGGUUAAUUGAGUGAAUGCAAAACUUUUUGAUGACAAAGCAUGUUCUAUUUGCAGUAACAAACUUGAUAGUUUUAUUAGAGAGGUAAAAAAUGUCAUACCAUUUAUUCACGUGGUAAGUAGACGAAAAAAGGAUUUUUUUUUUCCAAACUUUAUAAUGUUUUUGGGAUGAUUGAAAAGGGAAAUCAGAGUAUGUUGACAAAUUGUUUUUUUUUUUCCUUUUUUAAUAGGUAGUCACGCGUAUUGUUACAAGAAUGGAAAUGAAAAAAAAUUAUUUUGGCCCUUCAAAUCAAGAAAUUGUACAUUUGUCCGCUUCAUGAAUGGUGAAGCACAUCAGAAAGUCAUCUUUUUUUUUAUUCUUUUUUCUUUCUUUGUUCGAUACUCAACAACACCAUGGAUACGCUCAGCAAAAGUCGCAAACGCCAAAAUCUUGAUGAAAGCAGCUCUUCAGCCAUCAUCAUGUUGAAAAUACUGCAAAACAGUAGUGAAGGGCAUUGCAUUCAUGUAUCAAUAAGGCUACUUCUAAGACAAGAGAAAAGGAUUUGAAUAUUUUCUUUUUAGCUGCACCAAUCUAAUUGUUUGCUAAUUUUGGGCAAUUGACUAGGAUGAUCUUCUCAUCUGCAUUAUCUGCAUUUGAUAAUUGAUAUAGGUAAUUAUCUGCCAACGAAUAAAACAAUUACACGGUUUAAAAAGGGAACCUAAUUGGUACAAAUUGAGAUAGUUACGUUGACAACUACAUUGUGGCAUUGGAGAGAGGGUUGAAUUAGAUGAUAAGUUAAGAGAGAUUGUAAGUAAGAGGUUUAGGGUUAAAGACCUCCCACUUACAAGCCAAAAAAAAAAGCUUCAAGGUGGCAUAAAGUGACUAAAAUGAAAGUUCAAUUUAAAAAGUGAGAACUAAUGCCAUAAUACAGAGUAACAACUUCAAAGUGGCGGUUGCUAAUAAUUGUCAACAUAUACAUGCAAUAUUUAUUGAAACCGAGGACCAAUUGGCAUGUACAGGGAUAAAGAUCUUACUAAUCAAUUGAUCCAUCUGAUUCGAUUACAUUCUUUAUCUUUAUCUUUUUCUUUUCAGAGAAUUGGAAUUUUCUUGCUGUAAAUCUUUUUACUGCAGCAGAUAUCUAGAUGCUCCCCUACAAGCAUAUAUAUUAACCCUUGAACUAGCCAGUCCAGGUUUUUUGUUGGACUAGGCUUAUUGUCGUUCAGUUUUUCAUGGUCAAUCGUACAUUUGGCAAAGCUGGAGUCACCUCUGGAGAUAACUUGUAACGUUGCUUUAUAGUUCUUGUAGUGCUUCAUACAAUCUCCAUCUAUUGCCUCAGCAGCAGUGGUCUUGUUCUCCUCGUCAAUUUUGAGCCUCUCUUUGUAUACCUCAACUUUUCCAUCUAUAUUUGCAUCACAAAGAAAUUCAUCAGUGGCUUUUCUUAACACUGAAUAAUGUUUCACUCUUAAUUUGUUGUUUCCUAUAUUAUCUAGCUUUAGGCUCAAUUUGCCACAUUUUGGGAAAAACGAAUUUAACAAGAAAAUGUAAUGGAGAAAAGUAUCAAUUAUUAAAAACUAUUGAUGCUUCGUUACGCCAAACUAAACUACAAUAUAGACUCCUUAUCCUUGAUGUCUUUCUCAUUUCGUUAUGAAAAUUAGAUAAUUGACUGAGUAUGCUAACUACUUCACAAGCUAGAUCGCAUAAAAAAAAUAAAAAUUCAUAAAACUUAAAGGAGUAAAUGAACAUUAAGAUACAGUAAAGUGAUGGUUUUACCUAAGUACAACAAAUAAGAAGUAGGCGUGGCAUUAUUUUUUGUGCAAAAGGGUAAAAACUUUUAUAAUGAAAGUGUUACAAUUCAAGAGAUGAAUGGUAGUAUUAAAAGAAAGAGUGUAAGUGAGAGAUUCCGAAUUCGAAACCUCGCACUUACACUAAAAAAAAAGAUAGUAAUUUUAAAAGUUUAGUAUUAGGUCCUCUUCUUCUUCUUCUUUUUUUUUGUGCUUAUCUUUUGCCUUUACAACACUCAAUAGAAAAAUCUUAUUAUUCUACCGUCUUUACGUAAGAAGCAAUAAUAUAGAGUCAAUUUCUUUGCAUCCAGUGAAAGGAUAAGGAGAUAAAGUCAAUUGAGGAGGCUAAUUACGAUAAUAUGUCAAGCUCAAUAAAAAUGCCAUGAAACAUAUGAUAAGAGUUGUUGUCAAGAAAUUAUACAAAAAGAUACUGAGGGAAGCCCAAAGCCCGUGAAAAGAAUAUAAAAAAUAAAAGAUUGUGAAUAUAUCAAAUAAAAUUGCGGUCCAUGGGCACGAAAUAAGUUGAGUACAAAUUUUGGCAUGAUCGAUUCAUAAAUUUCUGCUGAAAGAUUGUCUCCUGAAUUAUUUGUGGACAUCGAUUGUGAUGGCUCGGAAAACUUAGUUUCCUCUAAUUCAACAAAUUAGUUAUAUGUUGAUUUAUUUGAUCGAUUCAUAGCUUGCUUUAUCAGUUACCUUUGAUUCAAAAGUCAGUCCAGUGUUUGCAGUACUUACUUAUAAGAAUGUGGUUUAAUAAUUUUGCAGAGUAAAAUUUAGAGAGGUUUCGAGGGCUUAGUUGACGAAAAACAAAUAUAUGGAAGGCCAAGCUAAGAAUCAGGGCCUGACAGAUAUUAUUACACUAUGAGGUCUCAUUUCGAUUUACUCUAGCAUUUAUUUAUUUUUUGAAUAAUUGAAAUGGAAUUCAUAUAUAUUCAUUCUUAAGAAAUUGUUCUGAUCUUGCCCCCUUCCUACCUAGUACUGUAUUAUUUUUUCUUGACAAGGCGCACAAAUAAGUAAGACAUUUUAUUUUAGUUGUCAUGAAUUAGGAAAAGAGCUUUUUUUCUUGAAAUUCAUUUUUUAAUGUUUCUUGAUUUUUGUCUCCUACCAAAAAAAAAAAAAAAAAGUAUUUGUCCUUUUGGUUUCUCAUAUUUUUGCAACUUUUGCAGGUAUGUAUCAACAAAUUGUAAUUGGGAUAUAUGUGUGUGUUUGUGUGUGCGUGCACGCAUGUGUAAGUGUAUGUAUGUACAUACAUGUGCAUAUGUAUAUAUAUGUACAUACAUACAUAUAUACAUACAUAUAUAUGUGUAUAUAUAUGUGUGUGUAUGUAUAUAUAUAUGUAUACAUACAUCACGCACACGCAUAUAUAUAUAUGUGUGUGUGUGCGCGCGCGCGCUUAUGUAUAUAUAUGUAUGUACGUACAUACGUACGUUCAACAAGGAUUUUCAGCCAACUCAUUGCUAUGUGUACUAGCCACAAAGGUAUGCCUAACAACUACCAUUUAAUUGUUGGAUACAUUAAUUAAUCUGAAGGACAAACCUGCAAGGCUGUUGGAUCUCAUUAAUUAAAUAAGAGCCCAGUGCACAUCUUGGUCAUUAUGACCAGUUAAUGGCAAUAAGGUUGUACUCUCUCUCUUGCCGAAGAGUGGCCAAAAUGCCAAAUCGAAGAGGCGCCUUAAUGUUUAUCACUACAAACUUACAAAAAUUAUUUUGGGUUUCUACAGGAAAAUUCUGUUGAAAGGCAAAAAGUUCAACCGACAGAAAAUUGUGUGGAUUAUUAAAUCUUAAUGCACAAUAACUUUUGCGAGAAUCUUAAGCCUAAUUAAUACUCCCUCCAUUCCUUAUUAGAUGUCCUAAUCCAGUGUUUCUUUUUAUCUGUCAUUUUAUGAUAUCAAGAAAGCAUUUAUAAACUUUUUUUCAAAUUUAUCCUUGUUUACCCUUUCAACUUUCUUGAAUUGGAACUCUAAAUAAUUAAAUGCAGUAUUUGUAGUAUUAACAAUAGAAGUAGUUGAAGAGAUGAAGAAUUAAAUUGAAAUGUGUCUAUUAAUUAGGUAUAGUUGAAGAGAGAUAAAGGGUAAUUUUGAGAAGUAAAAUAAAACUUUUGUUGACUUUUAGAAAAUAACCAACUUUCUUAAUCUAAGAGAAUUAGUUAUUCAGGCCAUCUAAUAAGGAACGGAGGGAGUAACUCGUAAUCCACCAUAAGCCGUGAAGAUUGCUGCGGCCAAUGCGAUAGGGAAAAAAAAAAAAAAAAAAGAAACUCGUUUUCCAGUCACCUUCGUGCACUUCAAUCCUGUUAACUUUCUCAUUCACAAGAUCUGGGAGUUGGUGUGCUUUAGCGCCAAAGCUAUGGAAGAACUCAUUAGCAUCAGACAUCAGCCUGAAUUCAGCCUCCAACUUACCUACUAAUUUACUAGUCAUAGUAGAGAGUUCCAAGAAUUGAUCAAACCGAAAAAAAGAAGAAGAAGAAGGAGAAGGAGAAGAAAAGCCCUACUAAUAACCUUGAACAAUACUAUGUUUCAUGCAACUCAGCCACUUGACUACCUGAUCUAUAGAUGCUUCAUUAAUUGGUUGGCUCCCACAAGUUACAAAUGUGUGGUUCUCUUUUCUUUUAGCUGCAAAAUAUGCGUGUAAUCGUGAACAUGAAUGCAUGUUGCAAUAUCUUCUCAUGCAAAUGAUAUACUGCUGCGUUUAGCCAAUACUGUCACACUUGAUUAUUAGUUAAAUUGGUAAAUGCUCCACUUCUGUCUCCAACGGGGAAUUCAAUGGGAAAUAAUGAUGUGGGGUAUAUUUCUUUUUUUAGGGGCGGGUUAUACAUUUUUAUCUAAUCCUUAUCCAUAGCAAGCUGAAAUCAAAAUUGCUCUACAUUUCAAUUGAAGUCCAUGAUAAUUAUUUGGACAAGUUUGAUUUGUUUUGUAUAUGCUUAGGACAACAUGCCAAGAAUCGACCAAAAGCAGACUCACAGAACACUAGCGUAGCUUAAAGGACAAUUUCGAUUUUGGAUAGGUAAUGUUUUGAUAGAUUUUCAGCUUGCACUUUAAACUUCUAUUUUAAAGUCUUUUAGUUUUAUGAAUACACUUUUUUUUCUGUAAUCUAUCUGUAAUCAAAAUAUGUAGUGGGCUUUGAGUAUUCCUAAGAAGAAGCGAAAUUCGCUUUUGCAACAGAAGUAAAAUUAAGAAGUGAUAUUGUUAUUUAAAUUUAUAUAUUUGUUGUGCAGGUGCGUACAUUUAUUGUUCCUAUGCAUACAUUGUAGAGUACAAUUGUAACUAACAUUGUGGAGAUGCUACACGCCAAUGUUGUACUUUCUGCUGGUUUAGUUCACCUCUUUGGGACAUUUAGCAAGAAGUCAGAAUAUGAUAAACAAGUGUGUGUGAUACAGCAAAAUUUUAUUAAAUUACAUGACGAAAUUGUGAUCUAACUGAAGUUUUGCUCAUGUUCCUUCGUUAGAAAAUCAAUUAACGUGUUUGUUAUCACAAGAUUACUUAUGCAAUUUAGAGAUCCUCUUUUGAUUAAGAAACCAAAAGAGAUAUUUAAAGAGAGGAAACUAGAGAGAUCCUUGAAAUUUGAAGGUUCAAAACGGUGAACCGAUGCACUUAGCAUUUAUAUCUUCAUCAACUGAGAUAGAUAUAAAGCCACCUAAACAUUCAUUGAUCUUUGCCUUCAAAAUUCGAAAUUCACUAAUUAGAUUGAUCUUUUCUACGCAGCAUAUAAUUGUAAUUACACAUGCAAUUCGAAAUUCAAGUUACUUGUAUCAAAAGAAUUUUGCUAGUUCAUCUAUGAUGAUAGGAUACCUAAAUCAAAAACUGCAUGAAUGAAAAGUUAUAGGAUGGUACCAGUGAAUGUCGCUUGUUUUGUGGAGUUCUAAACCUUGAGGUGGGUUGGAAUUUAUUGCAGCCAACUUUGAUCCUAUGGGGGGUGGAUAAAAAUCAGACUUUUCCAAUAGAACUGGCUCACACAUUAAAAGGGUGUGAUCCCUUUUCCCUCUUGCCUGUUGCAAUAUGAUUAACUUCCAGUGCGUUUAGGAAAACAUUAGUAUAAAGGAGUGAAAGAACGCCUGAAAUUUGCAAUGACAAAACUGUAUGGACAUUAUUUGUGCAGACAUUUGAGAGAGAAUGCUGAGCUGAUAAUCCUUGAUGGAGCAGGGCAUUCAUGGGCUUAUGAAAAUCUGAGUUUUAUAAGCACCUAAAAACCUUUCUCAUAGGCUGAAUCAACCAACCGACUUAAGGCACUUCAAUCUUUCCUCUUCAACUCAAAGAAGAAAUUUGUCGUUCAACUCAAUUUUCGAGCUAAAAACGUAGGGGAAAGCCUCUAAUCAAUUGAAUUUGUAGGUACACUUGGUUUCGUAGAAUAAAUAACUGACAAUGAUGGUUAAUAAUUCUUUCAACAAUGUUCCAUUCAUGAUGUAUCUCUGCUCAAGCUAUUGCAGAUCAUACAAAUUCCACUUGUGGAAGGAAGACGGGAAAAUUAAACCAUGUUCAUGGCUGGCCACUAAAUCCCUUGUUAAUGACUUCUAAUCAACUACUACUAUUUCAAAGACACCAUAUAUAAGACGACCAAAAUUCAGCUAAACACAUACCGUUCUGGGUAAAAGAUGUCAUGGCCCUCAAAUGACCUAAUCAGCCUAAAUUCAAGAGUACCUAUUAUGAAACGGACCAUAUGCCCAAUUGUUUCACAUCCUAAACUAUCAAAGUAAAAGUAUAUUGAGACAAGAAAAAAAGAAAAAAAAAAGAAUAGACAAACUUUGCUCCCUUUAUUUUCAAAAUAUUCAACCUGUAAGCACUAAUCAAACUGAAUAGUCUCAAAAGCUUAACUCAAUCAUAUAAUGAUCACACAGAAUAGCGAAAAAGAAAGGAGAAGAAGUACUCUGGUUGCAGACUCCUAAUUUGGUUGUUGGAGAAGGGGCGGUAGUAGUGGUUUUUAACUGAGAAUGAUAGAGACUGAGGUUUGAGAGUCUGAGAGUGUAGACUUACGGUUUAGUUCUUUUAUCCUUCAAAAAAAGGGUUUAGUUCUUUAUCCUUCAAAAAAAGGGUUUAUUCUUUUAGGAGUUUUAUUUUUAAAAUUUUUAACGGGAUCAAAUUGACUGCAAUGCCAAGAAACUAGCUGUACUACAAAAGUUAAGGGUAGAAAUUUCUCAAUAAGUUCUGAACACUUAUGUGUUUUAAGUCUUUAAUAUUUACACUAGCGCUCGAUAGCACACUAUAUUCCUACUUGCACUCGAGUCGUUACAACAAUCGAACAUGUUUGAAAUUGAUUCAAACACGAUCAAAGUCGAAACAAGACAAUCCAUUGAUCAAGCAGCUUCAUAUGUGCACCCGAGUUGCUCGAUUCGCAUACAUCCCUAUCGCAAAAUCAUAGUAAUUGAACCUUCAACAUCGAGUAUAGGAUUGGCCUUUGUUAUUCACCUAAUGCUCAAGUACAUAGCCUGACAGAGCCGGCAUUCUUCCAAUCACCUUGAUGAACAUCAAUGCCAUGGACUUUCUCGGAACACAGAUUUGGAAGUUGGUCUGCUUUACAACCAAAGCUAUUGAAGAACUCAUCAGGAUCAGACUUGGAUCUUUAUCUCAGCCUCCAACUUUUCUGCUGUAUUAGCCAUAGUUUUUUCUAGCUCUACUAGUCAAAAAGCUACUGAUUUUCAGCUCACCUUCACCUAGUAGAAUGCAAAUGCUAACGUAUAUGUACUUUAACCAUCGGACCACCGCUUAUAUAGGAUCAGUUCCAUUUUUCCGUACAUUUGUGAUGGUUUGUACUAAUAUCUUUGCUUUUUAUCAAUUCUGUUUUAGGUUUAUGUAGUUAUACCGCUCAUACCUAUGCUUAAAUUUCAAUAUACUAAUUGGGCUUAAGUAGCAAAGUUUUGAAAUUUAAUUUAAAAAGAAAAAAAAACCUGGCUACAUUAUUUUUGGAUUAGGUCAGGAAAUUUGCCUUGCUAUUCUUCUUUAUCAUAGUCAAGACAAAAUUUCUGUUGUUAGACUAUUACCAGGAUUAGGUUAAUUAUCUAUGUCUUUUGAUGCAAUAUCGAGAGGCAACAUGUCCCAGAUUAAAAUUAAGGGGCAGAUAAAAUGUCAUAUUAAUCCAAGAAAACCCAACUGCAACCAGAACUAGAUUUCAUGCUUUGCUUUAUGGCCAUCACCUAAGACGAGUGGGUUAGAAAGAUUUGUUUGCUUGAUAUGUUAUAAUACAGGCUUCGUUAAUAAGUUAUUAAUGCGAAUAUGCAAAACAAAUGGUUACAUUAUAGAUUCCUGUGCUUUGUGUUAAAGCUUCUUUUUUUUUUUUGGCAACAAAUUUUUGGACUGCACGGAUCAUUCCUUGCUGCUUUUAGAUUUCAAAACAGAAGCUACAAAGUACAGAACAUUUUCAGUUUUAGAAAUGCACCUCGGUUUUUCAAAAGGUGCAUUGACUACUGUAAAGAAUAGUUUCAGCUCCCUGAGAUCGAUGCCAGCAAGAUAGUUAAAUCAGCAGUGAUAAAUGUUAUGCAAUGAACCACUGUUAUAUAAAGGAAGCAUGCUGCGAUAAUGAUACCCCAUGAGGAAAAACAGAAACCCUAAUAAUCAUAGCGAUGAUAGUAACACUAAACCUAGAGUUAUGAACUAGUUCUUCGAGUUAAUUAAGAAUUUCUUGGUCCCAUCUAGGGGUGUAAACGAGCCGAAUUCGAGUUAAUUUUAUGAAGCUCGAAUUUUAUGAAACUCGAACUCGAGUUCGAACUCGAGCUCGACGAGCUCAAAAUAUCAAGCUCGAGUCGAGCUCGAGCUUAAAAAAUAAAAAAAUAAUUAUUAUUAUUUUAAAAAUAAAAAAUUAUUAUUAUUAUUAUUAUUAAAAAAUAAUUUUUUAAAAAAUUAUUAUUAUUAUUUUAUCAAGCUCGAGCUCGAGCUUAAAAAAUAAAAAAUUAUUAUUAUUAUUAUUUUAUUUUAUUUUUAAAAAAUAAAAAAUAAUUAUUUAUUUUAAAAAAUGAAUAAAACAAUAAUAUUUUAACAAAUAAUAAAAUAUUAGGAAUAUAUAUGUAAUUUUACUAUUAAAAUAAAAAAUAAAAAUAAAUAUAUAAUUGAGACUCGCGAGUCAACGAGUUUAAUGUUUUUGAACUCGAAUUCGAGCUCGAGAUCGAUUUAAUUAGUUCAAGCUCGACUCGAACUCGAUAUUGAUGAGCUCGAGUCGAGCUCGUAUUCGCUCGAUUCGCGAAACACCCCUAGUCCUUUCUUUGUAGUCAAGUCAUCCAAACAAAAUCGUAUUCCCUCGUUUAUUCCAAUUGUACCAAGAGACCAUUAUUUGGCGAAAAAGACAACAGAGAAAACAUGUCAGAUAUAAUCAUAUAAUCAGUGCUCCCAUAGCCAAAAUGCGCAGGAUUAGAUGUAGUUGGGUAUUAAUGGAUCAAAAUUCUUGACGUCUUCACUUGAGGAGAAGACGACAAACUGAAUUUAACUCGAAAAACUCGAAAAAAAUAAUAAUAAAAUUGCGUUUAAAAGAGCUGCAAUGAAUUUAGUUAGGAAUAUGGAAUUAACCUAUCUGGAGAAAGAUGGACAACAUUAAGCAAACAACAUGCGUUUGAAAACGACUCAGCAUUGAUGAAAGGGUUAAAUGCAAAAUACCCCCGCCAAUUAUACACCUAGUUGCAGUUUACCCCAUAAACUAUAAUAAUAGGCAUUUUGCCUCCUUGAAUGAUAUGUUUGGACAAAUCUAUCCCUUUUAUUUUAAACAUUGUUAUUUUUCUUUUUUCCCUAUCUUUUUCUUUUUAAAUUCUUCCUUUUUUUUUCUUUAAACAUUGUUUAAAUAAGUAGACUAGAUUAGUCAAAAUUUGUUUAUUUCUUAAUUUCAUAUGUCAAUAUUUUAUAAAAAAAAAUUUAUGGAAUACAAGAUUUUUUUUCCAAAUGUUGAAGUCAAUGUCAUUUAGGAAAUUGAACUUUUCAAAUAUAUAAUAACAAAAUAGAGAAAUUGAUUAAUCAAUUAGUAGUAGUAUCAAUAACAAAAAAAAUGAACUACUAUUGUUGUUUAUUCUUAUUUUUUAUUUCACUACAAAUAACAAUUGCUAACUUUUCUUUUUUAUGUGAUAUAUAAUAUGUUACUUUUAUUAUAAGUAGUUGAGUAACUGUGAACUCUUAAUUAGUUUAUAGGCACUUAAAUUGUUGAAUUACUAGAUUAAUACACUUUACAAUAUAAGCUACAUAUAUUUUGUAAUAACAAAGAGUUUAUGACAAAUUAUUAAGAAUGAAUUUAACAAAUAAACAAAUUAAAAAAGCAGUUUAAAGAAUAUUAAAAUUUUUUAUGUAAGUCCUUUCACAUCGGAGAGAGACAUUGGCUAGUUCCACGAAAGAAGGAGAAAAUAAAGAAAAAAAAAGGAAAAAAUGAAAUAGAGAAAAAAAAAAAAAAAAAAGGAUUUCAGAUAGUAGGGAUAGUAUUGUCCAAACAUAUCAUUCAGGGAGGCAAAAUGAUUAUUAUUAUAGUUUAGGGGUAAAAUGCAACUUGAUAUAUAAUUUGUGGGGGUUUUUUGCAUUUAACCCUUGAUGAAAAGACUAAUAAAGUCAACAGUAUGCCCCCACAAAAUUCAAUUUCCAAGUCACCAUUCCAACCACUUCCUUGACUAAUCCUAAACUUGGAGAUUGAGCUCCAAAAAAAAGUUUAUUCAAAGGCAAUACGAUUUGGGAAUUGCAAUGGGAAGCAAGUCGUUAAAUGAAGUAAUCAAACAUCACUUAGUAAAGGCUUACUAAACUAGUUAAUAAAGAUGUUGUUGGGCUGCUGUAUUUACCAUGAAUUGAUUUAAAGAUGAAAGUUCAGGAUCUUUAACAUGGAAUAUGGUGAUUUUUCUCCAAUUCCUCCUGGCUUUCUCUUUCUCUUUUAUUCAGGUCUCCCCGGCAGGAAAACAGAUACACACACACACACACACAUAUAUAGACACAAGCAUUUGAAGGUUCAUUAUCGUGAACCAGUGCACCAAGCAUUUAUAUCUUCAUCAAGCCAAAAAAAAAAAAAAAAAGAAAGAAAGUUAAGAUAGAUAUAAAGCCACACGAAACAUUCAUUUUAUUUUUCGUCAUUACACGUAGAAUCGUUAACACAUACAAAUUACAACCAAGCACUAACAGGAGUAGAAUUGCUAACACUUAUACAAAUUACAACCAAUCACUAGCAGGAGUAGAAUUGCUAACACUUACACAAAUUACAACAAGCACUAACAGGACUAGAAUUGCUAACACUUAUACAAAUUACAACCAAUCACUAGCAGGAGUAGAAUCGCUAACACUUACACAAAUUACAAUCAAGCACUAACAGGAGAGCAAAUUUUUGGAGGCUUCACUAAGCCCAGACAAUGGAGUACAUUAAAGAUUCUCUUUCAUUCUUGUUUUUUUUUACUCCGGGUACCCCGGACCGAGGCAAUGAAGAUAAAUAUAUCACCCAUAGAAGAAUUAUAUGGUACAUAUAGAUGUAUUAUUUAUUUUCGUGCGCUUUGAGAAGUGAAGCAUCCACAUCUUUUGCAGCAUGAACUAGCCAUUGGAGGUAAUGAAAUGGAGGACGCUCAUUCUCACUGAAGUUCUCAUAUUCAAUACCCCAUUUGGCAAAGUUUGAGUCACCUUUUGAGAUAACCUGGAACUUAGCCUUAUAGGUCUUGUAUUGUUCCAAAAUGUGCCCUUCAAGAACUUCGUAAGUGAUUGUCCGGUUCUCCUCAUCCACUCCAAUCCUCUCUUUUACAGUUUCAACUUUCCAUCUGUAUAAAUUUUCACCAAAGUAGAUAUUAAACAAAGUAAUCCAGCAAGGUUAAAAGCAGUUUUUGGAUCCUUUCCAGUACUAAAAUUGUUUCUUAAUCGAUGAAGACGAAGGAUACGUCAAACGAUGCAUAUGUAUUCACGACUUUCUUAGAAAAUAAUUAAUAAAAAUUCAAAAAUGUCCCUUAGCAAGGAUGACACCCUAAACCUUACCACCUUUUCCUAAUCCAAUAAAAGAUUUUGAUAAUAGUAAACGAAACUUCAAGAUCGAGUGCAGGGUUGGCCUUUGUUACUCACCUAUAGCAUAAGUCAAUAGCUUGACAGAGCCUGUAGUCUUCCAAUCACCUUCAUGAACAUCAAUGCCAUGCAUUUUAUCAGAGCAAAGACUUGGAAGCUGGUGUGCUUUGCCAGCAAAGGUGUGGAAGUACUCAUCAGGAUCAAACUUGAUCCUUAUCUCAGCCUCCAAUGUUUCUGCUGUAUUAGCCAUAGUUCCUUCUAGCUCUGCUAGUCACAAAACCACUGAUCAGCUCACCUUGACCUAGUAGAAUGCAAAUGCUAACGUGUAUGGACCUUAACCAUCGGACCAACAUUUAUAGAGGGCCAGUCCCAAGUUUCCGUACAUCUGUGGUAGUUGGACUAGCAUCUUCAAUCUCUGUCAAUUAUCUUUUAAAUUUUAUGCAGUUAUACCAUCAAAAUUAGACAUCUCAAAUUUGAAUGCGCUUAAAUUUGUCUUGCUAUUUCUCUUUUUGAUAGUCGAGAAAAUUUUGUAUCAUCUGGAACAACUUUUAAUAGGAUUAGAUUUAUUAUCUUUGAUAUAAGAAUAGGAGGUAACAUGUCACAGAUUCAAGCUCAGAGGAAGAUAAGUGUAGACGUAUAGUAAUUGGCGAAAACUCAUUGUACCGUAUACUUCAUUAUAGACAAAAUUCUGUCCUUUCACCACAUAUUUGCGAAAUGAAUGCUCUCAAAAAAAAAAAAAAAGUGAUCUAGUGGCUUAAUUAUAUGACCACACCUAUUCUUUUCGGCAAAUAGGCCCCAAUUCAUCAAUCAAACUUUAGUCACAGGUCUUAUUUUACAGAUCAACCAUGAGACAAAAAGCAAGACUUGGUACAAUCUCAUGACCAAUCGCUCGAAGUUCAUCAAGCACAAUUUCGACAACAAUGAAAGCAGUAGGUACCCAUUGGCCAUUUCGCCUGAUCCUUCACGCUGGAGUAACAUCAAUCGAGCUGUUUACCUCAUCGGACCUCCUUCUUCAUCAAUGCCAAUCCAUCCACCAUCUGAAUGAGACAUUACAUUACUUUGCUCAUAAUGCGCUCCCCACUCUGGAAUUAAUAUUUGACUAUAGUUUAGCAAAAUUGCUUAGCUACAAUGUUGUCCUCCAGCACCAAAAGCAUCUAUAGCCCCAAAUUUAGUUCUUUUUCUUUUCCUUUUUCUAACUAUGAAGUAUCUCUUUUUCCGACAAAUAGACAACAAGGUUUUAAAUUUCCUUACUCAAGUUGGAGGGCCCAAUUGAUUGACCCACUAUCAGACCAACCGAUGCACUACACAUCUGUAUGAAUUUAAGCAAUUUAAAGUGGCAAGCCACAUAUAGUAGCAAGUAGUGAAAAAUAAAAUUUGAACUCUUGACCUCCUACCUCACCAAAUGUUAAAGAUUAUGGUAGUAACCAACAUCCCAAAUGACUGUUGGUUUAUUUCUAUCUCAGUAGUUGUUCACCCAAUAUUCUAAGUACAGAUUUCUCGGUCCUUUUCAUGUUAAAAUGAAAAAGAAAAAAAAAAACAGUAGGAAGUGCUUUGUCUGUUAUUAUUAAGGAUAUAAAUGUUAGCUAAUCUUCUUGCUAGUAAAAACUUUACUCUUUCUAGUAUAUAUAAACAUCGAAUGCAGGUUGUGUUUAUCAACAUACUACUCUUUUAUUCUUCUAUUUCUCUAAAAUUAAAAAAAAAACAUAUGUUUAUUUGAACCAAAUGCGCAAGCUAUAUCGCGUAUUUUGCCUAUACAAACAAUUGAAGUAUCAUAAAGUACGCUUGCGUGGAACUCUAAGGAGUUAUUCAUCGUAGAAAAGUUGUAAAAUAAAAAUUUAUUGAAAUAUAAAGAAAAGCUCUUAAUUUUUAUCCUAAAAAACUUUAUCAUUCCAAACCCUUGGAGUGAACCAAAAUAUGUUUACUCUAAUAUAAGAAGGAUCUAAAAUUCUGCAAUCACUGAAAAGUUUAUGCAACAAUUUUGUUACUAAAAAGUGUAAAAUGAUCUCAAUUAAUUAAGCAAUGCGUCACUCAUGAUUUCAAUUUGAAGUUGAAAUUUCAAUGCAUCACUCAUUAAGCAAUACAUAGUUGAAAUUUGAAGUUGGCUACAAUGAAUUACUUUCACACAAUUAUCACACACACACACACACACACAAAGAGAUAAUCAAGUAUAUGCUGGCUAUUAGAUAAAAAUUAAUUAUUUGAUGACUAUCAAUGGAAGAUACACUAUUAUUGGAUACGCUCCCACAAGCUGAAGUCAAGUCAGUCACGUACAGUAAAGACGCCUGUCCCUAAAGUUUUAAUCAAAACACAUUUCAUCCUUAUAGUUCUAUAAUUUUGAUCGAUUUCAUCCCUAAAGUUUCAUGUAAACAUAUUUUAUCCUCAUAGUUUCAUAAAAUUAACCAAUUGAGGACAAUUGAAUAAUUGUUAACCAAUUUGGACCAAGUAUCAUUACAUAACUAGCAUUUCCCAUUGAUAAUUGUAUUAAUACUUAAUUCGAUUAUUGAUUAAAUUAUAUAAAUAACAAUGAGUGUGUUCGGAUAAAAUAUUAUUACUUUUAAAUUUGUGAUAUAAUAUAUGUGAAAUAAAAAAAUAAAUUAAAUGAUACAUAGACAAUUUGAAAAACAUGUAUAUAAUGCUACGAAACAAAAAUUUUAGAAACAAAUGGCAAUCGAAACAGUUCUUUCUUUCACGUUAAUAUUUUUCUUCAAUUGAUUGCAAUGGGAUUGUUUGAAAGAUUUAUCCAAUUGGCUAUAAUGGAGUUAUUUCUUCUCCAUGACUUCGUUUCCUCUCAAUCUUUUUGUUCAAUUUGUGAUUAAGAAGAGAAUCAUGGUGGUUGAAAAUUUCUUAGUUUUGUUUAAAUAAGAAAGUGAAUUAAAAAAAAUUUUUGAGGUUUUUGGUUGAUCCAAUAUUUUCUGAAUUUUACUAACAUGCAUGCUAUGGCCAAGUGAUGAUAUUCCAUUCAAAUUGCUUGGCAAUCAAUCAAUUAUUCUUAAUUAGUCAAAUUUACGAACUUAUGAAAAUGAAAUGUGUUUACAUGAAACGUUAAAAAUGAAAUUGGUCAAAAUUAUAAAAUUGUAAUGAUAAAAUGUGUUUUGACUGAAAUUUUGGGGACGAAAUUGCCUAACACCUCAAAUAAUGAGGACGAAAAGUGCAUUUUUCCCUAAAAAUAAAAUGAACCUUCGUUCUACCCCUUAUGUUUUUGGGCUACACUCCUUUUUAGUUAUUAAUUACUAUGUUGAUAUUCAAGAUAACCGAACGUAUAUAGCUAGACAUGUUCCUUUCGAGGAAUCUAGUUUUCCCCAUUCCCUGGUCCUUCUAUACUUGGUCCACCACCACGUCAAAACAAACCAAUUCAAUCCACCCUUGUUCUACCAAUUCAUGUUUUCAAAUUCAAUGGAUCCUACAAACAUUUUUUAUCAAAAACCGACCACUACUCUAAUCCUUCUUGUCAAAGUCAAAUGAACUGACCCGAUGCUACUUCGUCACGUAACCAACCAGAACAAAAACACUACUACUUUAGCAAAACUUAUCUCUAAACCUUCUGUGGCGUCAUCUGAACUUAUCUCUAAAUUGAAAUAUGAAGUUAGCUGACAAUAAAUUACUUUCACUCAAUUAUUACUUAACAAAAUAAGUACAGUAUAUUGAAAAUCAAGAUGAGAAUGUGGGGUUGGGACAUCUACAUUUGCUUUCUAGUAUAGCGUCCAUUUCACCAUGUUCACAUCACCUUGGGCAGUUGCCUGGAGAGUGGCUUUUACCAAAACAAAGGUCUAAAUUUAAUUGAAAAAUAAAAGUAAAUAUCAAAAUGGUGGAAUUAAAACAAGCAUGUAUAAGCUGGAAUCCAUCAACAAAAUUAAAAAAAAAAAAAAAGAAUAAAGAGAUUAAUUUGUUAAACUCACAUAGUAAUUUUCAAGGCCAUAAAACUAUGUUCAUCCCAGAUAGAGUCUGAUCAUUAAUCAUUUGGAGUACAUGACAGGCCAGUAUAAUUUCUUAUAUUUGGAUAGAUUAGAUCUAUGUAGAUCUUGUGAUUCAAAUUUUGUCAUAUCAUCUCACCAACUGAAGAAUUGAUGGUGUAGAAAAUUGUACCACAAGAUCAAGCCUAUCCAAGUUUUUUACCUUCUCGGUAAACUAUGAGUGUGUUUGGAUUGUAAGUUAUGUGAAAUAUUUUUACUGUAGCACUUUUUGUGAUGUGAUGUAUGUGAGAUAAAAAGGUAAUUGGGAAGAUAAAAAGGUGUAUUGGAAAUUGUAAUGGUGAUGUCAGCAAAUAUAUUUGGCCAAAUAAUUGGCUGUCCAAACACGCUCUAUAUCAUUACUUAGUUUUAUGGGUAUCUUUUCCUUGCCAAGAAAACUAAUGAAAUGACUGAUUUUUUUUUUUUUUGGCGGGUAAAGGCAACCACUUGAGUGAUUUCAGGAUAGACAAUGAUGACUUUAAGCCAUCAAAGUUUACUUUGCAGUAAAAAUGUAUGGCUCCAAAAUUUUUCUCAGUCUUGUUAAAAGCUAUCAUAUAUAUAUAUAUAUAUGUGUCUGCUUUUUCUCCUACAGAUUACUUACUGAGUAAUAAAUUUCUUGGCCCAUGACAAUAGGAACCGUCCGUCGUGGUGUCACAUACCUAAGGGAGAUUCCACUGAUAUUUCUAAGGUAGGUAGGACCAAUAGGAACCGAAAGAUGACUCAGGAGUUUCAAAACUCGGUUUGGACUUUGGACCCCAACCACUUUACACUAGAGCGCAUUGUGCAGUACAUCCAUGGGCCUUCACACCUUCCCCACCACAAAUUACAAGGACAGGACAGGAGCAUAAAAAUUGGCCUUCCGUUGCCGCCCUAUCUCUUUCACUACAGAAGAACGUGUUGUAUGUGUAUCCAUGGGCCUGGUCCUGGGCCUUCCCAACCCCACCACUAAUUAAACGAGAUGGGACAGCGACCCACGUGUCCAUUUGUUUUGUUUGUGACACUCUAAGACAGCGCCAAUAGAGGGAACUGUCACUACUCACACCAAUGACUCAUCUUCGCCUAUGAUAGGACAGCAACCUUUUGACCAUUCUACGGUGGCCAAUUUGUACGUGUCAGAAGAGUAAAGGUAAACGUAACAUGCUGUCAAACUCUCGUUUAGGUCGUGGUGGAUUGCUGAUUUUGGAGUUUCUACAUAAAAAUGUAUUAUUAUAGUGAUUGAAUGUAUGCAGAAAAAUGAGUAGAAAAUUUAUUUACGGGAAAAAUGUGAUUUUUUUUUUUUGGAAAAAAUGACUUUCCAAAUGAUGUCUAGAGUCGGGUACAAACUACCCACAACGAAUACAAACUAUCAAUCACAAUUAUUAGAUUUAAACCACAUGCUUUUAUCUAUUGUCUGAGAGCAGUAAUUCUUAAUUUCAGCAUUACUAGAAAAAUGUAAAACCGAUUCCGCAGGUUUAUACUUGAUGUGUUUGAAACCGCAACGGAUCUUCUGUCCACACCCUGUGCCACUCUCGUCCCACUUUUAUUAUAUUGCUAUUUCUCUACAUAAAUAUCAUGUUUUAGUUCUUUUUUGUUUUCUUAAGAUCCAACAACUAUUAAUUGAGUUAUACACAAAAUUUAACAUACUCAAAAAAUCAAAAUGCAUAAAAAAUGAGAGUUUUUAUGAAAUUUCUGCUGUAUUUUUUAAUUUUCUAUUAUAUAUUACUUUUUGAAGCUGCUGUAUUUAUUUUUUACUCAAUUAAUAGUUAUUGAAUGUUAAGGAAACAAAAAAGAAUUAAAACAUGAUAUUUAUGUAAGAGAAAUAGCAAUAUAAUAAAAAGUGGGACAGAGAGUGGCACAUAGUGCAAGACAGAAGAUCCGUUGCGGUUUGAAACACUUCUCUUUAAAACUCUUUUCUCUCCCUUCUGACUAAAAACUCUUUUAAUCAAAAUCUUCCUUCAUCUCUCCCAUCAGAAAGAAAUCAAAUCUGAUCCUUUUCCAUGGGAGGAAGUACUCUUUAUAAUUUCUAGUUUCUCUCAUUUGAAUAAAUUAUCUCCUAAGAUUUCAUAAUGAGAGAUUCUUCUCUCUUAAGAUUUUCUAGCAAGAGUUUCUUCUCUCUUAAAUUAUUUUAGUGGGAGUUUUAUUCUCUUCUGGGUUUUUCCUUGUGAGAGUUUUUCAGGUUUUUAUCUUUACUAAAUUUGAGAUUUUAUAGAUCUAGAAUCUAGUUUCUCAUAUCCGUAAUUUCUCUAUUAUUUUCAGAUCCAAAUUUCUCUUUGAACUUGAAUCAAUUUUAAUCAAAUCUGAUUGUCAACAAGUGUGCACUAAUAUAUUGGAAUACAGCAAUCCAUCUGGAUGGAAGAUAUAUAGAAGUACAAUGUUAUCUUUACUUAUAUUAUUUUCUUAGAUCUAUUAUAUCUAUUGAUUUCAGAUAUAUAUCUAUCUGUGUCAUGAUUGUUUGAUAUAUUUUCUGCUAUUAGUGCAGAUUUAUUUGAAUGAAAUGAUCUUUUCUAUAUAUAAAUCUGUGUCAUGAUUGUUGAUAUAUUUUCUGCUAUUAGUGCAGAUUUGUUUGAAUUAAAUGAUCUUUUCUAUAUAUAAAAAAGGGAUAAUCUCAGAAACUUCCCUUGAGAUUUUUGACAAUUUUAGGAAGCCCCCCUCAAUAAAUUAAAAUUACACAUACCUCCCCUAUCAGUGCAAAAGUACUCUACUACCCCAUAGAAUACUUAAAGACAUUUUUUGUUGGAAAAUUUUUGAAUAUCCAAACCAAAAACAAAAAAGCAACAAUUGAUUCUCUCUCUUGGAUGCCCCUUACCUUGCUUUUUUUCCCACAUCCUCCUUUGCCCAACUUCCCAUCGCCCGUCUCCAAUUCUCGUCUACCCAACUUUCCUGUUCUACUUUAGGACCUAACUAUUGCCCAUCAACUCUUGCCCGUGCUUGUCCCCUCUUUUUCCUACUUGACUUAUCCUUUUUUUUUUUUUUACUUUUUCUACAUCAAUUCCCUUCUCUUUGCAAACUUGAUUUGAUUAGACUCAUCCCUUCCUCCUUUUUUUUCCUAUUCAGGGUGUGGUGGGUUUGAUUUUUUUUUUUUUUUGUAUCUAUGUUCUUUAUCCAAUUUUAGUUGAUUAUGGGUGAUAAAACUUUGUGAUGCCAAAGAUCAAUCAUUGAGUUUUUCAAAAAAUUAGUUUUUCAAAUACUAUAAAAAUUUUAAAAAGUACUCUAAAAGGUACUCUAAAAAGUAGUCUUAAAUUUUUUUUAAUGUUUAAAAAAUAUCCCAAAAUAUAUUCUAAAAACUCUACUAUUCUUAAUAUUUCAAAAUAUAUUCUAAAAAUAUUUCAAAAUGUACUCUAAAAACUUCGCUGCAGUCAAAUUUUUUAAAAGCAUUUCCAACAACAGCUAAUCCAAAGGGCUCAGUCCAAGAGUUUGAGAAAUGGAUCUUUGUUUCAUAAAAUGGGUUGUUGAAAGAAAACAAAAGGCUGCAAAGGGAGGAAGAGUAAGGGGGUUUGACAUGUGGGAUUGGUUGCUGAUGGAGUGUUGGUUUUAGAUCAAAUUUGAGGUUUUUUUUUAUUUCUGGUAAAAUUUGAUGGAGUAUCGAUUUAAUUUUAUCAGUUUAAUAAUAAGAGGCGGGUGUAUUUACCUUGUAGAGAAAGUGUUGGGGCUGGAUAGAGAGUAAGAAUUAGCCUAGGCUGCCGAAAGUAAAUUGGAUUGCGAUGUUUUGCGUGCCUACAAUUGUUGGAAUUGCUUUUGAUUCAGCUUGGGAUGUUUGCUUGGCUUUUCCGAUGGUGUUGCCAAGAAAAAGCAAUCAUCAAAAUUCUUUUUAUUUUAUUUUUAAAAAAUUUUUGGUAGAGAGGAUUUCUUGGCUUUUGAUAGUCUUGCUUGGAAGAAGACAAUCAACAAAAGAGGGCAAUUAGUGAAGACGAUUAGCAAAAAUCUUUUUCCUUUUCUUUUUUUUUUUUUUUGGCAAGAAGGGUAGUUUAGGAUAUAUGAAGGAAAAUGUAGGCUCUUGGGUCUAUUUUGAAGCAUAAAUAGUGAAAGCAGGGGUGGUGGUGUAAUUUUUAAAAUUUAAGGGGAGCUCUCUGAAAUUGUUUGAAACCUCAGGGGAGGUUCUGAAAUUAUCCCCAAAAAAUUUCAGCAUUACUAAAGUAAUUGUAUUGUGUUUAAACAACUUGUUUAUUUGCUUUUUCCUCUUUCACAUCUACUAACAUUUAUCAUUGUAAUCAUAUUUUACAUGUAAUAACGUGCAAAACAAAACCAUCGUAGUUAGCAUUACUCCACUUCAUAUUUUAGUCCUUUUCCAAUUACUCAUGGUCACCAUUGCUAGAGUUAGGCAUUAAUUUUAAAAAUUGUAUCAAGUAAGUGUGAUCCGUUUUCUCUAUUGUCCAAUAAAAUGUCCUCACUAAUUAGUUUUCUUUUCCAAUUCACUUUAUCCGCAUAAAUGAAAAUAAUAUUAUUCGUCGUGGAAUCACAUUUUUUUUAAGUGUAUUUGUGUUCUAUCAAUAUUCAGUGACAAAUACAAAUUUACAUUCAUUUGUCUCUUCUUUCAAUCUCCAAUGCACAAAUUUAAUAAAAUUAUAUAUUAUUUUAUUUCUUAUAUUCACUGAAUUAUACAACCAUGUACUUGUAACUUUUGCCUAGCAUAAUGAACAUUGUCUAAUGUAAAGGGCUCUAUUACCAUAUAUAUAUAUAUAAUAUAUGUAGAACUCAAAUUUUUAAAGAUUUCUAUUAGUGGCAACACCUGCAGUUAAGAUCUUAUAAAUUCUCUUGACUCUUAUAGAUACUCUUAACAAGAUUUAUUAACUAAUGUUUUAUAUAUAACCUACUAGACUUAUUGUGUAAGAAAUCACUUACGCAAAAAAUUGCUAAAUAAAGUAUAAAUUCCUAAAUUACAUAACUACUAAAAACCUGAUUCUAAAUAAAACUACUAAAUGAUUAGACAAAAACUUGUAGUCUUGAUUCAUUUGCCAGCAAAUCAAUCAUAUAGUAUUUGUUAGCCACUAAUUUUGUCAACCCAUAUCAAGUCUUUUACGUGCCACCAAUAAUAGCUCUUUUAUCGGCAUUGACCUAUUACCCAAUUUGAACUUCAUCCCUGCAAGAAGCACGACGAUCUAAUUUGGACAACAAAGAACUCGAUCAGGGUGGGUGGGGGAACCAGAAGAGAUGGGACCUUAUGGCCCUGCUCGCCAACUCAGUUAUCUUAGAGUUAAUUGCAAGAAAAUCUCGUCCAAAACGUGCACAUCGUGUUUUGCCUUGCCAUCUAAUCUUCUUCUUCUUUUUUUUUUUUUUUGCUUUGCUCUCUAACCUGACUGUUCUGACACCAGAAAUAUUUGUAAAUUUAUUUCUUGCCCAUUUGAACAAACUUGAAAAUAUAAAAAAAAUGACCUCUUUUAAUGCAGUAUCAAUUACUUCUGGAAAGCAACUUUGCUAUAAAACGCAACCACCGAUACCCCAGUCACUAUUUAUUUGACACAAUAACAAUAAAUCUUUUUUCUACGCAUGCUUCAUGUCAUAAUCAUCGAACUUUACAUGAAGUGUUCAUCAAAAUUGGUCUCCCAACUUUGAUCUUAUCAGCUCAUUCUACCAUUUAAUGCGACCGAAAAGAAAGUGAAACCAUCCCCGGCCAAAUCUGCCCGAAUACCAUCAAAUGAGUAGCCUACAUGAAUGUGUUAUGUACUACAAUCUUUUUCCUACUGCAGCUUGAUGAAAAUGGGAAUUAGUUUUACCCUUCAACUCGUACAGACCAUCAACUCGUAUAGACAAUCAAUAUACACAAAUUUUCUUUUACUGCAGUUUCUACAUUGAUCUCCUUUUUCUAAUAUUAAGUAACACGAUGAAUUAAUCUCUUAAACUUCCAAAUUGCAGUAAUUACAGACAGAUGUUUGCCAACUUACAACUACAGCUUCGCUAAAUUUCUCAAAUGUAGGUAUGAAACCAGAGAAUUCUAGUAGGGUUAAUUAGAAAUAUCCAAAAAUAUUCAGGCAAUUCAUAGAAUUAUACUUAUUAAAGCAUGUCCUAAUAAUUAUAGUGGAAGUAGUUUAAAAAAAAAGGAAUGUUGGGAACAAAUUAAGCUAAUUAAAAAUAAUCAUUGUCUUUGUCAUACCUAACAAUUUCAUUCAAAAAUAAUUAUUGUCUUUUUCAUACCUAACAAUUUCAAGUUAAUUAAAUUACGGCUUUUUUUAAAAAAAAAGAUAGUAAGACAACAUCGUAUAGUUUAGCUUAUUAAACAUUCAGUUUUAGAUGUUUAUCAAACAUUAUAGAUAGAUUCAGUAUUAAGAUUCAGAUAUUUAUAUAUUUCUUUUCAGCACUUAAAAUUUAGCAAAUUAAUUGUUUCAAUAUUCAGUUUCAGAAUUCAGAUUCAAUUUUAUCAAAUAGGAUCUUAGUGUGUACUCCUAAUUGUAAUUGAAUUUGAUAUUUUAAAAUUGACAUUCAAUACAAACUUCUAUGUUUAACUAAAUUUGAUUUUUCAAAGCCACAAUUAAUACAAAAUCUCAAAUUUAACUAAAUUUGAUUGUAAAUCAUAUUUAGUACAAGAUGUUAAUUUUAACUAAAUGUGAUUUUAUAAAUGUGACAUUCGCUACAAACUCUUAAUUUUAACUAAAUUUGAUUCUCUGAAAGUCACUUUCAUAAAAAAAUAAAAAAACAAUUUUAACUAAACGAGAUUUCCUUACAUUCACAUUCUAUACAAACUCACAGUUUUAGCUACAUUUGAUUAUUUGUUGAAACGUGAUGCAACAUGUUUGGUAUACGUAACUUGAUGGAACAAAUUUGUGCGUUUGAUAUUUUGUUUGAUCAAUGUUUCUAAACAAACUUGAAGUAACAUAUUUGCGGACGUGCUAGUGUACAAGUCAAUAUUCCUAGCUACUCAAUUUGUCAGGAUCAUAAUCUGUUUUAUCUUAAUUUGUCAGGAUCAUUGUCUGUGUUACUCAAUUUGUCGUUGCUGUUUAGUUCAGCAAAUGUUACUCCAAAUCCUAGGCACAUGAAACAAAGAAAAUUAUACUUCUUUUUUGGUACAAAAAGAAAAAUUACACUUCAAUUACUGCAUUAGUAUAUGGUAUUUUACAAAAUUGGUGACAGAAAGAAUAAGUUGUGAUGCAUAUGUCAUCUUACGCACCUUAAUAUGCAACACUGGUCUGGAGUAAAUAAAAAGGAGAAUUUAUGUAAUCAAAAUAGCAAUUAAUCAAUCUUAGAAUUUUAGUAUUGAGUUAGUUUUUGUUACCUAUUGCAUAAGUCCAAUGCUUGACGGAGCCCUCAGUUUUUCGAUCGCCUUCGUGAAGAUUAACACCAUGUACUUUGUCGGAGCAAAGAUUUGGAGGUUGGUGUGCUUUACCACCAAAGCUAUGGAAGAAUUCAUCAGGAUCAGGCUUGACCUUUAUCUCAGCUUCUAAAUUUUCCAGCCAGAUUUGGACUAUCCAUAAUUGGUUGAAGUAAUACUGAAAAACAACUAUGCAUUUUUUGCUAGUAAAUGUUGUAUCAACUCAACUGGCUCAACCAACGUUUAUAGGAUCAAUUUUCAUGUUGCAGUAGCAUUAAGAUUAUUACGUAGAUGAAGUCCACAUUUUGUGCUUAAGAUCUCAAUUGGAGAAAACUUUCAGAUGAUAGUAUUUACUACUUGCGUAAUUAGCUUGAUAAUUUUAUUAGAGGGGUAAAAAAUGUCGUAGCAUCGGUUCACUUGGUAGUAGACAAAUUUUUUUUCCCAAGUUCUACAAUGUUUUUUGGAUGAUUGGAAAAGGAAUUCAGAGUAUGUUGACAACUUUUUUUUUAAGGUAGUCACUCGUAUUGUUGCAAGAAUGGAAAUAAAAAAAAAAAAAAAAUUGGCCCUUCAAACCAAGAAACUGUACAUUCAUCCACUUCAUGAAUGGUGAAGCGCAAUAGAAAGUCGUCUAUUUUUUUUUACUUUUUACUUCUUCUCCUUACUUUGUUGGAUACUCAACAACACGAUGGUUUUGCUGAACAACACCAUGAAAGCAACUCUUCGGCCAUUUCCAUGUUGAAAAUUUCAGAAUGGAAACCUCAAUUGUUGCAAAGUCGAUGCUUGACAACUUUAAGGUGGCAUAAAGUGACUAUCAUGAAAGUUCAAAAUACAAGUGAGAACUAAUGCUAUAGUACAAAGAAACAACUUCAAAAUGGCAGCUGCUAAUAAUUGUCAUCAUACAUAUGCAACAAAUAUUGAAGACCUAGGAUCAAUUGGCAUACACAGGGAUAAAGAUCUUACUGAUGAAUUGAUCCAUGUAGCACAAAGAUAUGCAUCUAAUUCGAUUACAUUCUUUAUUUUUUGUUUGCUUUUCCGUGCAAUUUUAUUGUACUAAUUCCUUUUACUGCUGCAGAAAUCUAUAUGCUCCAUUAAUUACAAGCAUAUAUAUUAGGCCUUGAUAAGUGAAGCGUCCACAUCCUUCCCCAUAUGAAGUAGCCAGUCCAGAUAUUUAGUCGGACUAGGCAUAUUCUCGUUCAGUUUUUCAUAGUCAAUGGUAUAUUUGGCAAAGCUGGAGACACCUCUGGAGAUAACUUGUAACGUUAUUAUAUAGUUCUUGUAGUGCUUCAUGCAAUCUCCAUCUAUUGCCUCAGAAGUAAUUGUCUUGUUCUCCUCGUCAAUUUUGAGCCUGUCUUUGAAGACCUCAACUUUGCCAUCUAUAUUUUCAUCACAAGGAGAUUCAUCAGUAGCUAUCAGGCUCUAUUUGCCACAUUUUGGUAAAAAUUCAAUGCAAAAUGAAAAUUCCAGUGGGAAAAAAAAUGAAUUAGGAAAAGUUCCAUGCUUCACAACACCAAACUAAGUUACAAUAUACACUCCUUAUCCUUGAUGUCUUUCUAAUUUUCUUAUGUAAAAAUUAAACAAUUGGUCAGGUAUGCUAACUACUUCACAAGCAAGGGCACAAAAAACUCAUAAAAAUGAAAGGGGUAAAUGGACAUCAAGACACGAGUGGAAUGGUGGCUUCACCUAUGACAUAAGUCCACAGCUUGAUAGAGCCGUCAGUUUUCCAGUCACCUUCGUGCACUUCAAUCCUGUUAACUUUCUCAUUCACAAGAUCUGGGAGUUGGUGUGCUUUAGCGCCAAAGCUAUGGAAGAACUCAUCAGCAUCAGACUUCAGCUCGAAUUCAGCCUCCAACUUACCUACUAAAUUAUUAGCCAUAGGAGAAAGUUUCAAGAAUUGAUUAAAAAAAAAACUACUAAUAACCUUGAUAAUACUAUGUAUUAUGCAACUCAGUCACACCUGAUUUAUAGAUGCUUCAUGAAUUGGUUGGCUCCCACAAGUUAGAAAUGUGCGGUUCUCUCUUUCUUUGCUGCAAAACACACGUUGCGAUGUGUUUUCAGGCAACCACACAUUUCUAACUGCGAAUUGCACUGUGAAAUACUAUUGAUCAUAUGGGAUUUACUUUGCUGUCUGAUCCCUUAUCCAUUGAAAGCAGAAAUCAAAGUUGCUGUACAUUCCAAUUGAUAAUUCCUCGGGCAAGUUUUCUUUAUUUUGCUAAGCUGUGCAUCUAGGGCAUCAUGCCAAUUAAAUUCAACCAUAGAGAGAAUAAUUUCCACUUUGCGUCCACAUGUUUUAAUAGAUUUUCAGUCUGCACUUGAAAAUUUUAAUUUAAAUACUUUAUCAUAUUGGAAAUUACAUAUAUUUUUCUCUUAAAAAGUAAAAUUACCGUCGUUAAACUACAUUAUGUUUUACCACAAAUAUUUUUGUAAUCUUUUGGUAACUCUAUGGUUUAAUCCAGAUAUAAAAUGGGAAAAUAUACAAAUGGAGCAUCGUUGAAAGGACAGGAAAUUAACUUUUGGUAUGCAACUCCAAAUAAUGUAGCUAAGAAGCCAUAUUGCUUUACACCAGUUAUUUAUAUUCAUCUACUUUUUACGUACCUGUACACAUUUGUUAUUCCAAUGCGCAAGUUUUAGAGUACAUUUUGACGAACAAUAGUUGUGGAGAUUCCUGCUUGUUUUGUUCACCUCUUUGGGGACAAUUAAUUGGCAGGAAGUCAAGAUAUGAUAACUGAUUAGGGAGAGUCUAGGGACAUCAUCUUAAUUUGCUAUGGUCGAUAUUAAAGUCCAUCUCACCAUAUCUCUAUCAUACAUCUCAGGACGAAAAAGCAACAUUUUACUAAACUGCAUGGCGAAAUUUUGAUCUAAACUAAGUUUUUUCUUGUGAAAUUGUGAUCUAAAUUAAGUGUUUUUCGUGUUCUUUUGUUACAUAAUCAAUCAGCGUGUUUGUUAUUAAUAGGUUGCUUUUCAAAUUUACAUAGUUGUUUAUUGUGAUAGAAUUGCACUUUCAAUUACAAAGUUGGUGUCAAGAAAACUAUCAUGUUUUUUCCCCCUUCAUUUGUAAGUACGGGGCCUGCAUUUGCUGCCACAAAUUAUGGCUAGAGAGGCAAUAAAAAUGCAUGCCCAAGAUUCUGUAUGUUACUAAUUACUUUUUUGUGUUUGACUUAACACUCAUAAUAAUUGGAGAGAAAUUGGUACCUAUUUUUGGAAGAAAUUACCGUAAUUGUUUUCCAAUUCUCAUUCAAGACUUGAAUAAAUGCUUCACCAAUACGACUUCUAUUUCAACUAUAUGUUUAGAAGAUUUUUUUUUUUUUUUUUGGGUCAGUUGGCAACAUCUACCCUAUCUUUACACUAAUCUGUUCAAGGAGAAGAUCCAACCUAUCCAAUAAGGGCUAGAAGGACAAAUUAAGUUCACAUCUCUUUUUUUACCACUGCAUCUUAUGUUUUGCCCUUUGACUAACACCUGGAGCUUGUUGGUUAGAAAAGUUUGCUUACUUGAUACGUAGAUAUGGAUUUGUGUCAUUUUAUUUUUGAUCAUUUUGAUACGUAGAAUUACUAACACACAUAAAAAUUACGACCAAGCAUUAACUCGAUCGAGAGCUUAUUCUUAAAAGCUUCGCUAAGCUCACUUCUAUUCUAUUACAUUCAUUGUUUUUUUCAAACGUAUAUGGUAUCCAAGUCAAGAUAGCUAUAUAUAGAGAUAAAUAUUUCAUAUAUAAAAAGAAUUUUCAUAUAUAAACUUAUUUUCGUGCUUUGAGAAGUGAACCAUCCACGUACAUCUUUGAAUAUAAUAAUAUGGAUGAUACGACAAAAUUGGAAAAAUUAAUACAAAUUAAAAGAAAAAAUGUCCCUUAAUUCUCAUGGAUGAUACGACAAAAUUGGAAAAUAAUAAUAUGGACUUAAAAGAGUAUCUAUUGCAAAAUCAUAGUAAUUGAACCUUCAAAAAAUUAAGUAAAGAGUUGCCUUAAUUUGUUAUUUACCUACUGCAUAAGUCCAUAGCUUGACAGAGCCAUCACUCUUCCAGAACAUCAAUUAAUGCCGUGCACUUUCUCAGAGCACAAAUUUGGAAGCUGGUGUGCUUUACCACCAAAGCUACGAAAGAACUCAUCAGGAACAUACUUUAUCUUUAUCUCAGCUUCCAACUUUUCUGCUGUGUUAGCCAUAGUUGUUUCUAGGUCUCAUGCUCACAAAUUAUGCUACUGAUCAGCAAGAACCUUGACCAAUAAUCCAAUGCAUUAUGCAAUUCAAUUUCUUUACCACCUGAUUCGUAGAUGCUUCACGAAUUCGUAAUAGCGCCCACAAUUUAGAAAUGUGCGGUUCUCCAUUGUCUUGGCUGAUCAAUGACAUAAAUCCACAUGUUGCAAUAUCUUUUCAGGCAAAUGAUAUGCUAGCUGCAGGUUUAGCCAAUAUGCAUGUCACACUUGAUUAGUAGUUAGAUCGGCAAAUGAUGCACUCCUAUCUCCAAAAGAGAAUUGCAAUGUGACAUAAUGAUGCGGGAUUUGCCUUAGUUUAAUUGAGUUGAAAGAUGGUACAACAAAAAUUUAGAUAUGAUGCAACUAAAUUAAAAUAUAAUGUAAUAAAAUUGAAAUGAUCCUUUUACCCCGAAAUGAAAUGAAAUGGAACUUUUGAUUGCCCAGAUCCUUAACGAUUCAAAUUAAGAGGGAAUGGCACAAAACACUAGCGUAACUUAGAGGACAGUUUUGACUUUGCAUAGGUAAUGUUUUUUUUUUUUUUUGUGGUGGUAACCUUCUGGUAAAUCUAUGCUAUGAUCAAAACCCAUAAUGGGCAGAUAUACAAACUGAGUAUCAUUAAGAAGAAGUGAGUUUAACUUUUGAUAUGCAACUCAAAAAAUAUAUAGUUAAGAAAUUGUUGUUGCUUUACACUUGUUAUUUAAAUUGUGUACACUUGUUACGUACGUUUGUACAUUUAUUGCUCCCAUAUAUGCAUUAUAGAGUACAGUUAUAACUAACGGUGUGGAGAUACUUCACCUAUGGAGUAGUGUCUUUCUGAUGGUUUAGUUAUAAUAACUGAAGUAGGGACAAAAUCAUAAUUUGCCAUAGCCCCCAAAUUUCCACAAUAAAUCGCAGGAGAUAAUUAAAGCAAAAUUUUUAUUAAAUUACAUGAUGAAAUUGUGAGCUAAAUAGAGCAAUUGCUCAUGUUCCUUUGUGUACGUAACCAAUUGACGUGUUUGGUAUCAAAAGAUUGCUUAUACAAUUUAGAGAUCCUAAGAAACAAAAAAAAAAAACAAAAAAAGAGGUGUUUAAAGAGAGAAAACUUAGAGAGAUCCUUGAAAUUUGAAGGUUCAUUAGGGGUCAACCAGUGAGCCCAAAAAAAAAAAAAACUAAGACAGAUAAAAAGCCACACGAAACCUUCGUUUUAUUUAUUUUUUUAUCAGCAAACGUACAACGGUUAACACUCAUAUGAAGUACAACCAAGCCUUGACAGGAUAGCUCCAUUUUAGAGGCUUUUUUUUUUUUUUGAAGGACAUUUUAGAGGCUUCACUAACCCCAGACAAUGGGUAUAUUUAGAGAUUCUCUUACAUUAACUUAUAUUGUAUAACAUUCUUUGUUUCUUUUUCUUUUCUUUUUUCCCCGGUAACCCGAGCCAAGAUGGCAAUCAUAUGGUAUCUAUAGAUAUAUUUAUUUUCGUGCUUUGAGAAGUGAAGCAUCCACAUCUUUUGCAGCAUGAAUUAGCCAGUGAAGGUACUUAGUUGGAGCAGGAUCAUUCUCCUUGACGGUCUCAUACUCAAUGCUCCAGUGGGCAAAGUUUGAGACACCUUUUGAAAUAACCUGCAACUCAACCUUAUAGCUCUUGUAUUGUUCCUUAAUGUCUCCUUCAAUUGCUUCCAGAGUUACUAUCCUGUUCUCCUCGUCCACUUUAAAUCUCUCUUUCGCAGUUUCAACUUUCCCAUCUGUGUGAAUUUUCACCAAAGUAGAAAUUAAACAAAUAAUCCAGCAAAGUCAAAAGCACUUUUUGGAUCUUCUCCGGUACUAAAAUUAUUUGUCGAUCACUAAAGACAAACAAAGUAAUACGCCCGAACGAUGCAUAUGCAUUAAUGAUUUUCCUAGAAAAUGAUUUAUACAAAUUAAAAAAAAUGUCCCUUCGCAAGGAUGACACCCUAAAAUCGAGCAAUAAUAUUAUAUAUACAUAUACAUACAUACAUACAUACAUACAUAUAUGUGUGUGUGUGUGUGUUACAAAAUCAUAACAAUUGAAACUUCAAGAUCGAGUACAGGGUUGGCCUUUGUUGCUUACCAAUUACAUAAGUCCAAUGCUUGACAGAGCCUCAGUCUUCCAAUCACCUUCAUGAAGAUCAAUAGCAUGCAAUUUCUCAGAGCAAAGAUUUGGAAGCUGGUGUGCUUUACCACCAAAGCUAUGGAAGAAUUCAUCAGGAUCAGACUUGAUAUUUAUCUCAGCCUCCAACUUUUCUGCUGUGUCAGCCAUAGUUGUUUCCAGCCCUAGGUAGUCUCAAAACCACCGACAUUUAUAUAUAGGACCUUGAUCUAGUAGAAUGGAAAUGCUAAUGUAUAUGGACCUUAACCAGUGGACCAACAUUCAUAUAGGAUCAGUUCCCAUACAUUUGUGAUAGCUGGGCUAAUUAAUACCUUCAAUCCCUGUCAAUUAUGUUAAAAUUUAUGUAGUUAUACCAUCAUACCCGUAUUUUCAAUUUUAGAUGCUUAAAUUUGAAUGCGCUUACCGCGCUUAAAUUUGUCUUGCUAUAUUCUUCUUUUGAUGGUCAAGAGAAAAUUUUAUGUCAUCGGUAACAACUUUAAAUAAGAUUAGAUUAAUUAUCUUUGAUAUAAUAAUAAUAGGAGGUAGCCCUCAUAGGGUGGUCCAGCGGUAAGCGCGGCUUUUAAGGAUUCUUGAGCUCCUGGAUUCUAAUCUUACCCUGGACUUAAACCCCUGUGACUCGCCCGGGAUCGCUGCGUGGGGUGGUGGCGCAUCCUCUGGUUUGAUGUGCCGGCUCGAAUCCUAAGGGUUCGAGUCGGGUAUGUUCUGGGUUACAAAAAAAAAAUAAAAAUAAAAAAUAAUAGGAGGUAAAGUGUCAUAUAGUAAUUGAAGAAAAUUCAUUGCACCGUACACUUCUUUAUAGACCAAAUUCUAUCUUUGCACCUGUCUUCACAUAUUUGCAGAAUGAAAGCACUCAAAAAACAAAAAAAAAAAAAGAGAAAAGAAAAUGUGAUCUAUUGGCUUAAUUAUUUGAUCACACCAAUUUUUUUUUUCAGCAAAUAGGCCCCAUUCCAUUAAUCAAUCUUUAGUCACAGCUCACAAGUCUCCUUUUAAAGACCAACCAUGAGAUAAAAUCAAACCUUGGUACAAUUUUCUCACUCCAUACUAAUUAUGCCACACAACCUCAUGACCCUUUGCUCCAAAAGUUCAUCAAUCACAGUUUUAACAACAAAGGAAGCAGUAGGUACCCGCUGGCCACUUCACCUCAUCCAUCAUAAAGCUUUGGUCAAGAAAAAAGCUGGAGUAACAUCAAUCAAGCUGUUUACCUCAUCGGACCUCCUUCUUCAUCAAUGCCAAACCAUCCACCAUCUGAAUGAGGCCUUAAUCUGCUGAUAAUCAUGAGCUCCAAUUCUAGGAAUAUCUAUUUGUCCAGUUCUUCGCAAUUUUGCUAAUUAAAAGGUUUAGCAAAAUUUCUUAGGUACCUCCCGCCAAAAAGCAACUGUAAAGGUUAACAACAAGUGUUUAAACUUCUUAACUUAAGUCGGCAUUUAUAAAGGUUAAUUAACUGGUUUACAUACUUAGAUCAUUUUAUCAAUUCGGUUCUAUAAAAUGUUUUGAAUGGAAACAAUAAUAAUAUCGUUUCCAUGAUUAAAGAAUGGGAAUAAAUUUUGCAUGAUUCAGAAAACAAAUUUUGUUCUGCAGGAUUGGUACCAUGUACUACUAUUUCUCUGUAGUUGUUAGCCGACAUUCUAAGUAAGUACGAAUUUCUCGAACCUUUUUAUGUUAUGGGAAAAAAAAAAAAAGAGUAGGAAGUGCAACCAAACACCCACACAAAUUUGAUCGGAAAUAGUCCAAAACCAAAGUCCAUAGGACUGAAUAGAUGCAAUGAGUUGGAAAAUGAUAAAUCAGUAACCUAAAGUAACAAACCCCGCUUUAGGUGUUGUACCCAAGCUCCAUGAAUGAUUUACAUGGCAUGCCAAAGUACAAAAAAGGCCCUUUAGGAAACGGACGGAAAACUUCCCAAGGGUGAAAUCAAAGUCCUUUUUGUUAUAUAUGUAAGAUUAAGGAUAUAUCUUUUAUAUAUAAUAUAUUCACUUUCAUCAUUAAAUAUGUUACACAUAAUUUAAAUUUGAAUUUAAGAUUCAAAUUUGUAUAUGUAUUAUACAUCAAAUUAUGAUAGUGUAUGCACUAUUAAUGUACGUAAAAUUCCAGUUAUUAUCUAAUCUUCUUGAUAGUAAAAUUUAACUUUUUCCAGUAUAUAUGAACGUCCAACGUAGGUUAAGUUUAUCAACAACAGACUACUCUUGCAAUCUUCUAUUUCUCUAAAAUUUUAAAAAAAAAAUGAGAGUUGUACGGUGGGAUAAUUUUCCACCACCAUUGUAAAAACUACUAAAAGUGACAUGCAUCAAUGAAAGUUUUCUUUCCUCAAAAAAAAAAAGGACCCUUGCUAAAAUAACACACAAUUAAAAUCACGGAUAACUUUUUAAUAUACAAUCAGCGUAUAAUUUUUUUUACAGUAACAAGUUUAAAUUAUUGCCACAUAACAUGAAUUCAAAUUUGAAAUUUAAAUUAUACACAUGUGGUAUUCAUUCGAAACUGUUACUAUAACUCUCUCUCUCUCUCAUGCUUGGUAACCACAAUAAUAUAUAGUUUUUUUGUAUGAUAAAAAGCUAUCUUGUAUUUUAGGCCCAAAAAACAAAAAAGACAAGCUAAGAACUAUUUGAUCAUAAGCUAGUACUCAUGAUCUAUUGUGAGAGCUCUCAAGAGACUAACCAGUAUCUUGUGUUUUGCAGUCACAAGUUAGGAGACUGCAGUUUGAGGCUUAUCUUGGUAUUUCAGUUUUUGUGGGCGGCGAAAAGAAAAUCUUGGCUCACAAAUCUGGUUCAAGUUGAUUGGAAGACUUUUUAUAGUAGCAGACUUUUUACUGUGUUAAAGGAAGCUUUUUACAAGGAUGCUGAUAUUAAAUUGCCACGGAUCUCAUUCAACACAAAAAGUUCUCUUAUGUAAAGGUUAACAAAAUUAGCUGAGCAAAUUAUUCAGCAUCUGCAAAGCAAACAACGUUUACACGAAUGAAACAAUAAUAUAAACCGAUUUAAUUCAAUUGGCACAGAUAAUUUAGCACUUAUUAAUCGUGUAAUCAGCCCUAUCUAAAGAGUAGCAUCUUCAUUAUCAAUCAACUACCUUUACAUUCUCAACACAAGCUGCAAAAUCAUAUACUAUCAUGUGGAUAAAAUACACAAGCCCACACUCCGCUCUCCAUUCCAAAAUGUACCAAAAUCAACUAAGCCGAAUCGGCAACAUUUUGUAUUAUAGAAGCCCGGUGCUCCCAAAUGGAUUGGUUGUCUGGGGAUGCCCAACAGAAUUGACAGGAAAUGCAGUAAAACCAGCAUCUCCAAAGGGAUUUUGUUGGCUCAUCAUGUAGUGUUGCUGCUGCUGGUUCUGUGGAUAGACAGGUUGGAAUGGACCAAAUGGAUUUGCCUGAGGCUGAGGCAUAGCACCCAUUUGAACUGAAUGAGGAGGAGGAAUGUUAUUUGACACUGCAAAUGGAUCGUGCACUUCAAACGGAUUGGGGGCAGGUACUCCAUACAUUGGUUGCUGGGCGGCUCUAUAUGCUCCAUCGUCAUACAAACUAUUGAGCGUGAGCGUGUCCAAUCCACCAGCCUGCCAAAAAAAAAAAAAUUUGCAGAAUGCAACUUUUACAAAUUGGAUAACAAUCAAUAAUCUCAAGUCACAAUCAGAAGAAGCCAUUUAGCUUAAUGCUGACAUUUCUAUCUUUAUCAACAUUGGACAUCACAAAGAAAUCUCGAGCAACAAUAGUCAUUUCAGGUAAAUUGGAGCUCAAGUUAGAGGUGCUUUAUUCCAUAAUCUUCCCUUUCUUAUCUGCAAGUACUUUAUAUUGACUUAAAAUACCAAGUUUGUAACAGACAUCAUUAGACCUCACGUUUUGUUUCUAGACAGCAGAACUGAUUAACUUGUCCAAAAUAUGUCAUAAAAGCCAAAUAAUAUCCAGCAACUAUGGUACAGGAUACAAUAACAACCAACCUUUCACCCAACUAAUCCAUGGAUUUGGAAUCACAUUGCUACAGAAAGGAAUAGUAACAGUACAGAAGGCAUACCAACUGCCUCUCCUGGGAGGACGAUAAGUUGCUGGUGGGAGUAGUUACUAGGGCAAGUUCCCAUCCUGUUGGGUCAAAGUCUUUUAUUGAAGCAGAACUAGAAUCUGUCGUACCUACAUUGGCAUGCAUCAUAUGUUCAACAAGCAAUAAAAUUCAGACAUACAGCUCAUCGGAGAAACUAUGCAGAAAUUACAUACCGGAUGGAACUAUGGCUAAAGCCAAAGCAUUACUUUCCUCAAUAGCAGAUGCAUCAGGUGAAAUGGCAUUUAAACCCUGAGAACGUCAUAUAAAAAAUGAAGAAAUGGAAACAGUGAGUUCAUCAAUAAGAAAUGAACAUUAGUGACUGUAUAAAAACAUAUGAAGGGAUAAGUCUACCAGCAAAUCAUCAGUAUGCAACUUGUUCGCAGGUGGGGGUAAUGGGGCAGCAACCGCAGCAGUUGAGACAGCAGCAUCAUCUAAAGGCACUGGCUUAGGUUCAUCAGCCACGACUUCUGGUUCCUCAGAAGGUAAAGGUUCUUCCUGGGGUUUGUAGGUCAACAAAAGUCUUUCUGGGUAUUCCUGAAGACAACAAAUCAUUGAAAGUAACUUCUCUGCAAAAAAAAUGUUAUUUUGAUUAUAGUUACUCCAUUUGCACAUUUAACAAGCAUACUGACCAAGGGCUGCGCCGGAAGAGACACCAUCUUUGGUGCUUCUCUUAUGUACUCUUCCAUCGUCACAAGAAAGGAUUGUGGCGGCUGGUGACAAAAAAUGACGUCAUGCUGGGAUCCUUUGUAAGAAUUUAUCACUAUAAUAAUACCUACUCAAGAAAGAAAAGUAUAAACUUCUACCUCUCGCAACACAGGAAACUGGAAAUUCCUGGCAAGUUCUAACCCUUUGCAAACUUCAUAAAAAUCAGAAAGGCUUGCUGCCUGCAGAAAGAUCCCGCUCAUUGAGUGAUACUAAUGCCAGCUAAGAUCCUCUGAAUUCCAAACAACUUUGAAAAAAACAUGAAAAUUUUCAAAUUUAACAAAAUCCAAGUUAAGUUCAGAAACAUCACCUGCUGCCCAGCUCUUUUAUAUAUCUCAAGGGCUUUAAUUGCUUCAUGUCUAGGCAUCUCAAAAAACUGAUGGAAUUUCAGGAAAAAGAUUUAGCGGGCAAAAAAUAAGGAGAAUCUUUUUGUCAAAAGAACAUCUCAAAGGCACAAUAAAAAAUUCACCUUGUCAACAAGAUUGAUAAUCCCAUCAUUUACAGCACAAUAAAUUUUAAAGCUCUCCUUGAGCACCUGGGAAAAACAUAUAUCCAAAUGAACCAUAAGUAAUAUACAGAAAAAAUCCCAUUCAACUGCUAUAUUCAACAAUAGACAAUGUUUCCCAGCACAGGUGCAGUCUAUUUUAAUUUAAAUUUUGAAAUCAGUUAUCUGUUUAUACCCACGUAAAGCACAAGAGUGCAAGUACCAUAGGGAGGAAUUCCACUAGAGCGGACUUCUGAAGCAUGGUACUUUACAGAUAGAAAGGGUAUUUCCUUCAACCAUACUUUUCUUCACACUACCCCAAAACAGUUUUAAUUUCUUCAAUCUCUUGGUGACAAGAGUCUCGAGUUAUAUUUUGGAGCAAAUUUGACAAAAUUCUAACAAACAGGAUAAAUUGAGAAAAUUCAUAUUUAUUUAACAGAAGCUAAAACACUAAGAUAAAACGUACCAGAGCUAAGGCAUACUGAAUUACAUAAUUGUGGACAGCUGCUCCUUCAGGCUGAAAAAUGAACCAGUUUCUUAGUCUUAGUUACCUAUGGCUCUUAGACAUUUAAAAUCUUCAAAAGAGCAGCUACAGAAACAGACAGUAAAAAACGACUAAGAUUUAAAAAAAAGAACUAUCUUCUAAAGAGUCAGAAAACUACCCGACAUCCAAUAAGACGAUAUAGCAGCUGCUGCAAAGAGGGUAAGUGCUCUAGAAGCUCUUCGCUUUCCAACUCCCUUGUUCUGCUGUAACCCUGGGAACAAGGGCAAGGAAAAUGACUUGAAGACCAAGAAUUAAGACACAAUAAACACAACUUUCAGUCGACCAAACAUCACAUGUUCUUAUACAUCAAGGCUUGGUCCUGUGAAGAAGGAAAAGUCUGAGCAUACUUUUAUCUUGUAUUACUCACUAUUCCCACAGAACAAAAUCACAUAGUUGAGAAACAUCUGAAUCCCUAUUGCAGAAGAAAGAGAGAAAAAAGAAAGAGAAAAAACAGAGCCAAAAUAAAAAGAAAAAAGCCUCAACAUCUGAAUCACUUUUGCAAAAAUAUAAGCGCCAAAAGAAAAAGAUACAGGAAAAGAAGGAAAAGAAAUUGUCAUCUUAGAUUCAAGUUAGCAUCAACUCAUGUAGUCGAAUCUUUUCUUUGAGUUGAUUGAGGCUGAAAAUAUCAUCCGCUCAGAAGGUUCUACUAAAAUAGAAUAGUCCCCCAAACAGAUCUUCAAUACUGAAACAAUUCCCAUAAUUGAAACAAAGAAAUUUUAAUUAUCAAACACUUCCACAGUACUUGAUAGCUCAAAAGAGAGAUCUCAUUAAGAUGAGGCACCAAAUAUUCUUUGAAAACAAGCAACAAAUUGCCUAUUCUCUCUCAAACAUGUCUAACUGCAUUCAGACACAAGAAAUGCAAUCAUAACAGCUCCCUUAAGUAUUAGAAACCUACACAGACAGAGAAGGGGAACCACAAGGCAAAGAGAUAAUAGACCAUCAUGUGAACCACAUACCUUUUCUUGUCCUUGGGCUGGCCUAGGAAGACGCUCAGCUUCAAUAUCAUACCUGAGAAUCUUAAAGCAUUCAAGUCGCUCUUCCAGAAAGAGAGCAUAAGUGCGCACCCAGCCAGAGCAAUCCCAAGCUAGAGAGAGAAAUAAGAAUAGAAGAAACCAGGAUCAACUUAGAACACUCAAAAUUAAUGAAUCUAUAGUCAAACAUAAGUUAAACAAACAUUCAUCAAAAAGGACAUAAAAACAAAGGGAAAUAAUAGACAAAGGUAUCCUUCAGUACCAAUAGGGCUUGAAUCAUCCUUGAAAUUGGACAUUUGUAGUACACGUCCUCUCUGCUGGAAAUUCAAAAGUUCUUCCCGGAAUGUAGGAUCACCUUCCCUCAAAGCCCUAUGAAUAACUAUCAGUGUCUUCAAUGCUACCUGUUAAUACAGAAAAAGACUGUUAACAGACAAGACAUCACUCUAACCAAACCAAUGAAACAAAAAUCUUGUCCAUAAACAAAAUAAUAGCAACACAAACCUCUCAAACACACUGUUCUUCAGUCUCUUUUGUAUUUUUAAUUUAUCUUUAUUUUUCUAAAUCUUUUUUGAUAAGUCACACUGCAAUCUGGAAGGAUUAAGACCAUUACAGUGUAGAUCUCUUCUGAUCACACCACCAGGUCUUUGGGAUAUCAUACCUUCUAGAGGUAAUUACUGUAGAUUCACAGAAUAAAAAGACUUCAAUUGCUUUAAGUAGAAAUGGACACUAAAUCACACCCAUUUUUCAUCUCUACGUACAGUUGGCAAUGUAUAACAUUUCCACCUAGAAAUGCAGGACCAGUGAACAACAAAAGAAGGUGAUGACUUUGGUCUUAAAAUACUUUUUUAAGUUUACAAACAUAAAUAUUACCACAGCAACAUAUGCACUACAAGAGAAUGAAUCAGAUGUGAGACAACUAUCAGCACAGCCCAUAACCGCAAUACAUGAAAAGAAGUUACUUUCAAUCGCCCAAGGAAAUCAUAUCUUGAUGCUUCAAAGUGAAAAUUACAUGGAAGAAAUGGAAUGUAGAAUCAAUUUUCUUAAAACUCCUUGUCCUAUGUACUAUAUGUAAACAGACUCCAACCACUUGAAAAUUUUGACCACCUUCAAGCUAAAUCAUUGUUCCUUGACAAGAUGCCAUUAAGCUAAAGGCCAAAAGACUCCACAAACAACAUACCAAAGAAGAAGAAUUAUUAGCCAUGGGCCAGAUUAGCCAAACGAAAAAAGGCUGUAAAGCUAAUACAUAAAAACAGUAUAUGAUAUCUCAAUGACCACAACUGAACUUCAACAAGAUGUCAAAGUGAUAAUGGGUUAACAAUAUUCUUUGCAUUGUCAAAUCCUCAACCAGUUAAACUACAUUUAGCUAGGGAAAUAAGACUAUAACUCCAAUGAAUUUAGAUUUAACCAUUACUUGAACAGAUACGUAGCAUAAAUGAAGUGAGAAUCAUACAGCUGAACUCAUAUUAGAGUAUCCUUUUCCACAGCCCAUCUGCCCACCAAAAAGAGAAUGACUACUAUCCAUGAAUAAAUUUUGUGGAAGCAAAGCUCAAACACUCAAAAGAUAUCAACCUGAACAAGGUAUCCAGAAAUGGAUGUACUCUAGUAGUUAAUAGUCUUCUUUACUCGUCAUAGAUAGGGCCUAGUCUCACUUUCUACAGUCCCUUCCCCUCCCUACUUCUUCUUUUCUCCUCCCUUUGUAAAGGUCUGACAAAACACUGAUCAAAUGCAACACCAGCAAAUAAAAGAUCAGUUAGGUGCUGGACUUGACCAGGACCUUGACAAUUCACUCACUUUUGAUCAGCAAAAAAUGCAACUCUUGUUUCUUUGCAUAGUAAGAGGAAAAAAGAAGGGGGGGGGUUCACCUUCACCAGUGAACUAACAUACUUAGACUUUAAGCGCACUGAUAUUCUAAAUCAACUGAUAAUAACUACCUAAUUCCAAACUUUGAGCACACCGGUAUUGCAAAUCAAACUAAUAACAACCAUCCAACUCCACAUUACAGUCAAAAGCACAACUAACGCUACUGAAAGGGUCAACCGCAAUACUCAGCUAAAAGCAUGAUGAAAAAUUGCAAUAUACAAUGAUCACACAAAGCUAAAACAUUUAAAUUAUCAGCAGAAAAGUUCAUACCGUCCAAUUAUGCGUCUUUGCCAAUCGCCUAGCAAGCGCAUGUAUGCAGUAUGCAACAUCAGCACGCGGUCGAACAGCUGAUGUGGCAAGCAAAAUUUCUGAAAGAAACAGCCAAAGCACAGCAGUCCAACCAGCAGUUCAGACAUUUUGAAUCUCACAAACAAUAGCAAACAAUCAAACUAAAAAUUCAAAAAAAUCCAUCAAACUCUCAGAAACCAAACCCCAGUUCCAAAAUUAUUUUUUUUCCUUUCUCACCAAAGGCCAAGGCCAAGGCUAAAAUUCGAAAGCCGCAAGCAAAAACUCCAUUUCCCCACAAAAAUAUCCAACAUUCCAUUUUGUCCCAAAAACUCGAACCCCAAGUGGAAAGUUGACAUAUUGCUCGAAAAAUCGAAAACCCAUGUAAAAAUCCACAUAUUCUCCUCAAUUAAAGCAAAACCCACAAAAAUCUCAACCCAAAAAUCGGAUCUAUUAAUCCAAAAAAUAUAUAUAAGUGUUAAUAAGUAACAACUCACUUCUAAGAUGCCUUUCUUUGGGCGGACACUCGACAUGAUUAGUAGCCUUAACAAUCGCCACAUCCAAAUCCUAUAUAAAAAGGAAAAAAAAACCCCAAAAUUUGUUACUUCCGAUAAAUCAAUCAAGAAAACUGACGACAGCCCAUCAAAUAAAUCUUAAAAGGGUACCUUAAAAUCGCUAUUAACAUGGGCAAGUCCAACUUUUGUUUGGUCCUUAAGUGCACCAUAGGCUUUUCUCCAUGUCUGAAGCGUCCCCAUUUCUCUCUAUUGAUAAAUAAUACCAAUAAUCCUUCCCUCUGAAACCUUGCCGCGGAGAUCGCCUAACCUCUCCUUCAGAAUCGGGUAGAAAUCGCUCUCCCUCGUUUUGUUAGAGCCCCGGAAGAAAAGGAGAGUAUAGAAUGGGAGGAUUUUUUCUUUUUCUGUUUGUUCGGUUGACGGAGGAAAGAGAGAGUGGGGUAUAGUUACUGUUACUGCGUGCUGUGCGUGUGAUCUGACUGUUUGGCAAUGAAAAAAGUUCAAUUUGGCGGCCCCUUCCACACAGCCAGAGUAUAAUGAGUCAUCAUUAGUACAGCAAAAAUUUUUGGGACCCAUCUUAAUUUUUUAAUUUUGCAACUUUUUGUAGCAUUAAUAAAAUAAUUUAAAAGUUCCCAAUUUUAAUUCGUGUGAUUUUUUUUUCUUUAAAUAGAAGAUAUUGAUUUACAAUUCCACUCAUCUUAUCAUACUCAACCUUCCCCGUGCAUUGAGUGAUGUUGUUGACACUUAAAUUUUAUUAAUAGCAAAUUAUGUCAUGUUGUAAGUUAUGAAAAAAAUGGAUAAUACGAAAUGUUUCAUUAACAAAAAGUGGAGUUUCAUUAUUAUUAAUAUUCUGUAUUUCUAAUACAGCACUAGACACUUGGUGAUAAAUUAGAGGAAAAAUCGUCCAAAACGCCCCUCACAUUUUGUAAAAUAAUUUUUUUCGUCCCUCACUUUUAAAAGUGUAAUUUUAUAUCCCUUACAUAGUCACAUCGGACAAAUUUAGUCCCUAACUAGGUUUCCGAUCUUUUUUGGUAGGAAUCCAUCAUGUGCAAGGCACGUGAUCAUUUUUUAAGGGUAAAUUUGUCAAAUUAUAUUUUACAUAAUCUGAUCUAUAGUCCUCCACAUUUUAUAAAAUAAAUUUUUCCGUCCCUCACAUUUUAUAAAAUGAUUUUUUUCAUCGCUCACAUUUCACAAAAUGAAUUUCUCCAUUUCUCACAUUUCAAAAAAUGAAUUUUUCAUUUCUCACUAAUUAUGUGUAUGAAUUCAUUUUUUUAAACACAUGUAUAUGUCUAUUUGAUUUUGCUUAAUAAUAAUAGCAUAAACACAUGUAUGUAAUUGAGCCCAACUUGUGGGCUAUCUUCUCUUUUUGUAUGAUUAUGACUAAUAUUUACCAAUAGAACCUUAAUUUGCAUAUUCUUAUUGUAUUUUGACCGAAAAUAGCUUUAUUGGCCAAAUUGACAAUGAAUGCAAGAUUAUUUACUAGCUAAUACCAGAUGAAAAUCAAAUGAUCACGUAUAAUAUAUGGUAUUCGUAUUGUUAAGUAAAAUCAAAUAGACACAUACAUAUAUGUAUACUAUUCGUAUUAUUAAGCAAAAUCAAAUAGACAUAUACAUGUGUUUAAACAAAAUAUAUUCACACACUUUUUUUUUAGGGUUUCCCUCACAUACAUAAUUAGUGAGGGAUGGAAAUAUACAUUUUUUGAAAUGUGAGGGAUGGAGAAAUUCAUUUUGUGAAAUGUGAGGGAUGAAAAAAUCAUUUUAUAAAAUGUGAGGGACGAAAAAAUUUGUUUUUAUAAAAUGUGGAGAACUAUAGAUUAGAUUAUGUACAAUAUAAUUUGACAAAUUUACCCUUCAAAAAUGAUCACGUGCCUUGCACGUGAUGCAUUCCGGCCAAAAAAUGAUCGGAAACCUAGUUAGGGACUAAAUUUGACCGAUGUGAAUAUGUAAGGGAUAUAAAAUUACACUUUUAAAAGUGAGGGGCGAAAAAAGUCAUUUUACAAAAUAUUAGGGACGUUUUGGACGAUUUUCCCUAAAUUAGAAUGACAUGAGCAUUAAUUAGUGUCAAAAAAAGUAUUAAUUAGUGUUAAAUUCAGCACUUGUAAAGAUCCCUACAAGUAUUGGAUCGUCUAAGAAAGAACAAAACAUCGGGAAAAUAUAGGAAAUGUGUGGAUCUAUUGUAUUAACCAAUUGAGAUUGAUCAUUUUCAAUUGAACUUUCUAUUUAGUCAACUGAGAUUUAAAUUGACUAGAAAAGGGCCAUCCAAUUUUUGGAAAGUGGCUACUACAUAAUACAUGGUUCACAUAUAAAGUUUUGGGUUGAAUAUUCUUCCAAUUGAUAAAUAUGAUGAGAAUUGCAUGAGUGAUCUUCAUUUGUGGUCUCCAAAAUAUUGAAAUAAAAUAAGAAAAGUGAAAAAAUUAUAAGAAGCCCUUAUGAGCAAAGUAUAAUAGUAUUGGAUAUUAUUUCUCUUAUAUUAUAAACAUGUUUUUCAAUCUUUUUUUUAUAUUUUUAAUUAUUUUGUUAUCUCACACACAUUACUUCACAAAAACGUUACGAUAAUUAUUUUAAAUUAUAUUCAAUUCAAACACACUAAUGAGAUGAAAAUGUAACUACACCUCUUACACGAGUUUUUUUUUUUUUUUUUUGAAGGACCUCCUACAUGAGUUUAAUAGUAUUAAUUUGACCAUUGAUGACGUAAUAGUAAAAGAAGAUGUGUUAGUAUAAUAAUUUUGAGGGUAUAAAGAAAUUUUGAGGGUACAAAAUAAGAUAAUAUUUUGUGCGCAUAUGUACAGGUUGGAGCACAUGAGCCACACAACUGGAACGAUCAAAGAAGCCUGCACAAGAAGUAAUCACUGCUGGCUUUCGAUUUUGGAAUCUUUUCUAGACGUCCGGUCGAUAAUUUAACAUGCUUCUCUUGGUUAAUAUUUUUCAGCUUUUGGGAACGCUUUAGUGCAAGAAAGUAAUGUGGCAAGCAAAGGUUACGUAGGAGGGCACAAUUAGUCAAGAAACUAAUCCCCUUAUGAUUAUUGGACUCCCUUAUGUAUAAAGUCUUAGUGAAUUUGAUGCAAGAAAUAUACAUAUCAAGAUUCAAUUCAAGAAUCUUUAAUUGCAAAUUAUUUUUAAUUAUUCAUUGUUAGUCAUAUUUGAUAAUAUGCAUGUAACUGAAAAGAGUUACUUGGGUCCUUCAUUAAGCGGAAAAUAUAAAAUGAUAUAUAUAUUUUUUUUGAUGCUACAUGUGAUUUAAUUCCUAAUGAUAAAUAGUAAAUUUUAGUGUUUUUCUUUAAUGAAAGCGUUGGUAUUAAAUUAACUAAAUAAUGUAGUAAAUAAGGGGCAAUGGUGGAAUCAUAUUUUCUUCUCUCUUCUAAUGUCACUGUUUAAUCAUUAGUUGAGCCUUAAUGUUAUAAGGUAAUUAACCUCAAGGGAGGUUAGUGUAAUUUUCAAAAUCUGGAGGAAGGCCAAUGAAAUAGUUAAAAACCUCGAGGGAGGUUUCUGAAAUUAUAGUGAAUUUGAUGCAAGAAAUGUACAUAUCAAGAUUCAAUUCAAGAAUCCUUACAGUACAUUGUGCAAAAUUACACCAUAUUCAUGAAUGAACUAACAAGAAAUGAAUGCAUGCAUAAUCUUCCACUUCAUACCUCUGGGUUGGUACAGAAGAAGAAUAGUAGGAAAAAUGAAAGGGUUUUCAUAAAAUAAAAAAUGCGAUUUACACAUGGUUUUGUUGAGUAGGCUGUGUCAUAGGUUACAUAAGGCAGGCUCGAGUAGUUGGGAGUAUAAUCAAUUAAUCAAACCCUUCAGUUACUAGUAAUAUGAAUAGGUUCAGUUGUAUAUACUUACCAUUCAAUAUGAAUAUUUUAUUAAUCCUUCUUGUGGGAUUCAAGAAAGGGACAAACAAGAUAAAGAAAUUAAAUUAGGAGAGGAUUAAUUACUCCCAUAUUCUAUUGUUCAUCGAAUAAUGUACACGUGCUUCCAAUAAUAGGUGGAAAGAAACAAAAUAUCAAAUUGAUUGAUCACAGAAACCAAUCUGAGCGGUCGGCAGCAGCUGUUUUCUUGCAGCUUUGGUGAUUCCACCGCCAACUUUAGCUUCUUUUCUGUUCUUUUUUUUGUCUAAAAUGGGGAAACAUGGGAAAUUUUUCUUUUUUUUAAAAAAAAAAAAAAAAAUUUUGUUUUGAUUGAGAAAGCAAAUCACCAUUGGGUUUCUGCAUAGGGUUGCUACCAAAAGAAAUUCAAGUCAUUAAUAAAGAGAAAAAUUGAUGAGGAUCGAGCUGUUAUUAGUGAUGUGCAUAUCUGCUCCUUCUCCUUUAGACAAAUAGAUAUCCAAAUUCUGUCCCUUUUUUUUUUUUUCAAGCAUAUUGAAAUUUGUCCCUCCAAUUUCUUUAGCAAAAUUUUUAGUUUACUCUUUCAAGUCACAUCUAAUCCCAAUUUCUGCAAGCAAUUUUUGAUACCAAAACUUGCAAACUUGACCGCUGAUACGUAAAUUCAAUUGAAAAGUCUCUGUGUAUAUACCAGCACAAUUUUGGAGCUUGUUCGGUUUGUAUUUUUUGGGAAAGUUUUUGAAACUAUUGUGGAAAAAAAAAACUAUAACACAAUUCUGAGAUGUAAUGUUUAUAAGAUAAAUAAGUACUUGAAAAAUAGAAAAAAAAAAAUAUUCUGUAAAAACUCAAGAAUCUUUUUCAUAAAAAGUAACAAUCCAAACCGAACCUUAUCUUGGGUGUACCAAUUUACUGUUAAUUUGUUGUCAUUUUCUACGUCAGAUUGAGAGGCUUUACCAUCAUCUUUUAAGGCUUGCCUCCAAAAGCACAUUUGUCCGUGGAAAAAGGAAAAAACAAUGUAUAAGUUUGUCCGUGGAAACUUUUCUUUUGCUUCCUAUGAUGAUGGGUACAAAACUUCUGAGGUUUAAUUAAACAAUUUCUUACUUCUAUAAGAAAAGGAAAAAGGAAAAAACAUUGCAGGGGGUUUCUGAGAUUUGUGGGGGGGUUUUUAUCCUUUAGUAGCAGCAGCCUUACAAGCUUCCCUAUUCUGUCUAUCCCGCAUCGUUCUUGGGAGGGUUAAGGGUUGGGUAGUUAAGUCCCCAGAUUUGCCUCAAAAGUUGCCGGCUUUUGAGGUUAAAUUUGGGAUUAUGUUUAAUUAAACAAUUUCUUACUUCUGUAAGAAAAGGAAAAAGGGUACAAAACUGUAAUGAUGCACGUCCAAAUGAGUAUGGCCUAAUCUAAUUAUGCAAAUAUACAUUUGAAUUUAGAAUUAGAUCAUGCAUAAUCUGGACUAAUAUUUUUAAAAAUUGCUCUUUGAGAAUUUACUUGAUUCAAGAAGUUGUCCAGAGUAGCAUCUAAAUCAAAACACUUGGUACGUUAAGGAUGUUCAACAACCUUUUAUGAAGGGUUUUUUCUAAUGCAUUCUUCUGAAUUUGUUGCUGAAAUACUCAACCUCUGCAAGAUAGAAGUAAAGCCUUUGACCUAAAAAAAGAAAAAUAAAGAAAUUAGAGGUCUCCCACCCUCUUAUAAUAGUAAUUGGAAGGAAGGAAGGAAGAGAGCAAGAGUCGAAAAGAGGAUGGCAGUUUCAGUAGAAUUCUUGAAAUGAAAGCAAUUGUCGUGACAUAUGAUAGGCAGGUGGAUCAAUAAUGAACGAUGAUACAAGAGUUGAGUUCAAGAAAUCUACCAAUCCAUCCAAGAUUUCGUGUCCAACAAACCCGAUUUGCUGGCUGAAGGAAUAAUCAGAAAACAGUACUAGCGUCACUUGCCAAAAAUGCAAGAAAGGAUUCGACCAUUUCUGGAUAUUUGAUGAAUUAUUUCUCUUUUCAUCGCACUGUCAUUAGUGAAAUCCACAAUGUCUUAGUUUACUGGUAAAAAAUUAUAAUAGAAAACAAGAUACUCCCUCCGUCCCACUUUGUUAGUCUUGUUUUCCUUUUUCGCCCGUCCCAAAUUGUAGUCCACUUUCCCAUUAAGAAAUGUAGUAAUCUUUCAAAUUGUCUAAAAUACCCUUAUUAAAUAUCUUGUUAUUAAUACAUUGUUAUUAAAUACUAACCCACUACAUUGAAUACAUUGAUUACAUUGAAUACAUUGACUACAUUGAUUAGCAUAAGGGUAUUUUAGGAAAUUAUUAAUCUAAAUUUAUGUUUCCAACCAAAUUAAUUACACUUUCUUAAUCUGUGUGAAAAAAAGACCAAGACUAAGAAAACGGGACGGAGGGAGUAUAUAAUUAAUAUUUCAUGUGGAACUCGUGUCUUGAGGUGUUAAUUUCUUUUUAUAAAAUUUAUAGUUAAUUUGAGAAAAUAUUUAAAUGCAGAAGUAAUUAAAUGUGGAUUUAUUGCGUUCACACGAGAAGUUAGAUAAUUUACGUGUAUUAACAAGUGUCACAAUGAAAAAACUAAACUAGUCAUCGAUUGCCGUAGACAAAAAUCCCAAUGAGGUGAUUGCCGUUUAAAGGGAAAAAAUGAACAAUGCCCUGUUUGUUUUAACGGGUUAUCAACUCAUAGCAUUAGAUCUAGUCGUCCGGCAUUAAAGGUGGAGACAAAUGUAGCUGUCAAAGGGUCUCUGGUCAAUGGUCAUAGAACAAGAAUAUGUUUUUGUUUGGCUUUGGCGGCCUUUGCUCUUCUUCCCUGCGUAGAUUUUGUUCAUAUCCUCCAAAAAUAACUACUAGAACAGUGGAAUUCAGCUGUUGUUGAAAAAGAUAAUAAAUAUUGACUUGUUAUUCAUGACUUUUCUCCCAUGUGGACUAAGUCUAAAGACUUUUUCUUCUUUUGGGGGUGGUUUUACAACAAACGACAGUUGUUAACCAACUUUAACACGCUCUAUUUCCUACUUGUGUGGAGAAAUUGUCCAAUCACCACCUUCUUAAUUAAGUAGAGAAGUGACAAUUUCUUCUACUAGGUUUUUUGGAUUGUAAGGCUCCUCAGACCAUUGUAAGGCUCCUCAUACCCCCGACUUCUUCAAUAGGUUCAAUAGAUGUCCAAUGACGGAGUCAGGAUUUUUUUUCUUGGAAGGCCAAAAUUUUCUUAAUAUGUUAUGUUCCAAAUAAUUUUCAUUCAUUUAAAUAUAUGACAUCUAAAAAAAAUCAAAUAUUAACUUUAAUUAUAAAUAUAUAUAUAUAUAUAUAUAAACUCUCGUAAUAAAAAUUAAAAUUAUAAAAAAUUCGGGGAGGUCAUGGCCCUAUAGAUUAACUUGGGGGGGGGGGGGGGUCAUGGCCCUAUCAGUCCCCCUUAGCUCUGUCAUUGCAGGUGCUCACAUUUCAUGUCACCUUAUCUAACAAUCUAAGAAUUAAGGAUCAUGAUUGUUGUUUGUUCAUGCAAGUUAUUAGCUUUGAUUUCAAGCAAAUUUUAAUUCCAGAUUCAGCAGACAAACUGCAAUAGAAAGAGAUUGCACGUCACCUCUUCUGAUGAUCAUGGAUUUGAAGAGCCAUCCGAUUUUCCUACUAAAACAGCAAUGUUACAAGAAUCACUGUCAGAUGCAUGAAUCAGUGUCCCGUUUUUAGGUUAUAUAGCAGCAUUUCCAUGAUAGUAACAUAUGGUAGAUUAAUUGGAAACUCUGUAACAUAAACAAGUCAAAAGUAGAAUGAAUACUUCUUCUUCGUCUUCUUCUUCUUCUCUCUCUCUCUCUCUCUCUCUCUCUCAAUUUUAAGGCUGUGCUUCUUUCUAUCAAAACUGAAGUAAUUUUUGUAUAAGAAUUGUCUACAUUUAAGAGAAUGAAAUUCUGCAAUCAGCUGAAUAAAAUAAGUACGGGGUAGGCAAUGAAAUUCAUGAUCAGUAUGUAAGGCGCUUCACCUGUGAUCUAUACAUCCUGCUUCGAGUUAUCAAUGGGGUUUGGAAUUCCACGAUUGAUUCUCUAACACAAAACCAAAAACAACGAAUGGAAAAAAGGUAGUAUAUCCUAAAAAAGAUGCUACUAAGGGAGUUAUAGAUAUGAUUUUUCCACUAGAAUGAGGUAUACUAAUACUACAAAUGGAGUUGAAUUACAUGAAGGUGAAACUCAGCACAAUAUAUAUAUACACACAGACAUAUCUGGCUCUUUGCAACAUAGUUGCAGUUUUACUAGAAGUGGUUACUGAAGACCUAAAUGAUGCUUUAUGGACUAUGGACUUUCAAAAUGUGAAUUUUUUAGUCAGCCAGAUAUGGAGCGUAGAACUGCAUUUCAUCAAUUUUACAGAGGAGAGUAAGCUUUAUCACAUAAUGAAGUCAUCAAGCAAAGGGGUGUCAAAUGGAAGCUUUAUGAUCCCAGAAGCCACGAAGAAUGCAAAAAGCCACAAAGGUAGCAUCCAUUGAAAUGUAAACAUCAGAAUUGGCUUCCCUGCAAGGUAACAGUAGAGUUAAACUGUCUUUCAACUGCACAAGACUAAAUUUUGAAAGUAGCUAAGGUUCCAACAACUGCAUGAAGAUCUUAAGUCGGCAAUAUUCUUCAGGAUAGCCAGAUAUAAAACAGUGCAAUUUUUUUUUGUUCAUGCAGUCUGAAAUCUUUUCUUAUGGUUUCUUUGUAUGAGAAAAAUGCAAAUCCCAUAACACAGUAAAAGAUGUAAUUUUCCAUCAUUCCUUUUUUUUUUUUUUUAAAUGCUUUAAACUACUGUUAAGACUUAAGAGGUUCUUGAUACAAUAAGCAGCUCUUGACUAAUGCCACUUCAGUAUAGACGUACUUCUGCUUCUUUGCUUCUUUUCUUCUCUUACCGUCUUUCUCAAUGGAUUAAUCAUUCUCCAUUCUCUUGCAAACGCUAAUUCCUUACAGAAAUGGUGGACAAGAAAGGGAAAAGCAGCAUGAAUCUGAUAUAUUUAAUUUGUGAUUCAUGAAAAGGCCAUUGAAAGUAAACAUAAUGGAGAACCUAAUGACCUGAGUGACAAGGAAUAUACUACCCUUUGCAACUUGGUGCAGCAAAGAUCUAGGAUAAGCUUGUAAAAGGCUAUAAACUAUUUUUUCAUGUAAUCUGAAAUCUACCAGCCUUUGUUGUGAAGUUUUAAAUCCUGGAAUAGUGAUUGACAUGCUUGACAGUUAGAUAAAAAGCAAGUAAUUAAAAAUUUAAAAGCACCGGCCGAGCAGCAUAAACGCAUAUAGAAGAAAAAAUGCAAGUCCAUAUUUGCAAUUGGCUAAAAUUUUACCAGCAAUGUUGGGAUGAGAACUGUUUUGCAGUUUAAAUAUAAGAAGGCAUGUUUGGUUUUAGACAACGAAAUAUGGGGGAAAGCUUUAUAAUUUGAAGGAUUUCAGGUUGAUAAUAACAAAAGUUUCAUUGACAAAUUGAUUGGAUUUCUUGAAUCAAAGAUAAGAAUCAUCUCAAAAUACCAAAAGUACGCCUCAUAAUCAUUAUCAUUCAACAGUAGACAUAGGACACUUUAACUUUCUAAGGUCACUUCGUAAAGAAAUGGAUUGCCAGGCUAUCAAAUCUUUGCCCUACUUGAAUGCACAAGUGCAUUAAUUCCGAUCAAUCUGGGAUACUAUACAAAUCAGGAGAACUUCAUGCAUAAGUUUAGUAGAAAUUCAUGCUUUGAAAUAUUAUAUUGAAGACGACAAAAUAAUAUUUUUCAGGACAAUACGGUCAGUACCAGCAGAGCGAAAAGAGGCUUCCGUUUUAUCAGCAAUCCACUCCCCUGUCUCACGUAGUUGCUUCUCCACAGGGCUUUCAGUUGACAUGGGGGUACCAAACAGGGACAUCUUCUCUUUUGGGUCCCUAAACAUUUUCAACACAAAAAAUCCCAAAAAGCAAUCAAUCAGGGAACUCCAGACAAUGCUAGAACCAUUUUUCAUGAUAAAACAAGAAGUACUCAAGUCAAAAAUGAAAUAAAAAGUAGUUGCCUGACGGGUUCUGUGUCUCUAAAACUGCCUGCACUGACGGCUCUUUCAAUCUCCAGAAUUGAUGGUUGCUUCUGCUUUCUCUUCUGCUUCAGCCUUGGUAUUGAUGGUGGCUGUGAUGUUGUUGGGGAACUACUGCCAGUGUCUAUUGUGGGAUGUGAACGCUUAGGGGGGCUGCCUUGAUGAGAUGUGGAAGGUGAAGAAGUUUUGUUUGUGGAGGCAAGAAUUUGAAGUUUGUUAAUGGAAAGGCAGUUCAAGCUUACCAUUCUUCUGCUUUCUUUUUGAUAUCCUUUGCUUUGAAACUUACUGUAGUGUUGCAAAAGAAGAUGCAUCCAAUACUGCAACUUAAACGGGCGGCACUGAAAUAUCUUAUCUGAACCAUCUGAUAGACAAAACCAAGCCUUGACCGGUCCCAAUUCCAAGUCAAGAUAGUAGACUGAACUUGUUUUUGGCCUUUCAUCUCCUGUUUUAGGUUUUCUUGUGCAGCCACUUAAAGUGUUAUCUAGUCCCAAAUUGGUUUCAGUCUUGUAAUUAAGACAAAUUGUCUAGUCUCACAUGAUGAGAGGCAUACAUUACAAUUUUCUUUAAGAUGCUAAUCCACUUCUCCUUAUGCGGCAGCAGUUCCACAAGCACAAAAAUGGCAUUCUAGGAUUUGAAGAGGGAGCAGGGAGGAAGCAACUUUUAUUUCAUCUAAGCAUUAGAACAGGUGAAAAUUGUGUAUACUUAACAUCCAAAAUUGGACCCGGUCUUCUAUUGGGUUGAUACGAUUUUUCUACCGUCCCAGGAUCAUCACCACUAAAAAAUUAGUUUGUGACUGACAUUUGCCAAAAAUGGCGAAAAUUUACAUGGAAAUUACAUUCAGUUUUUACACUAUUCUCAGGUGGGUAGAGUCCUGAGCAAAUGAAGAGCUCUUG